AAGAAUCUAACAAAUAUCAAAUUAAUUACAACUAUAAAUCUAGAUACAAAAGACGAUAUAGAAAGGGUUGUAGGGCGAUAGAAAUAAAGAGUGCGAUUGAUUACAAAAAAAUUGUGAGCAUCACAUGAUGUAAGUUUCAAUAUUUGCUGAAUCAACAAAAAAACUUUAGAUAACAUUCAAGGUUUUGCAUAACGUUCAUAGCAAAGUAAGAAUGAUUUAGUCCAUCUUCUAAGCUUGUAUCUUCAUUGAAUAAUGAACAAAAGUUGGGCAAAAAACUUAAGGUUUAGUCUUUGUCAUGUGAUAUCCAGGAAUAUCUACAAAAUCUGCAAGAAAUAAGAAAAAAAUCUAUUAGAAAAACUUUCAGAUACAUCAAAACUUAGCAGAAAAGUGUAAAACAAAGAAACUGGCAGCAACAUGGCAGAAAAGUGUAAAAUAGAGAAACAGGCAGCAAUGUUAUGUUGCAACUGUGCAGGAAGCUUUACGCUAAUUAGAUAUAUACACCCGAUACAUACCAAUAAGCCUCUCUAGGCACACGAUAAGCGUGAAGUGCAUGUCCAAGGGAGAGUUAUCAUAAUGGAGAAACAAGAUUUGAGGUAAACUAAGGAAGCCAGUCAAAAUUUCCCCUCCCCUCGAAAACUCCAAACAACGAAGAUCAAAGUAAAUUCAAGGAACCUCAGAAAACCAGAUACAAUGUAUUAACAGCUGCUAGAAGACCAUACCAUCCAUACCCAAUAAUUGACAAAUCUAACAAAGACGAUAUCUAACUAACAAUGACACUUAAAAAGAAAGGUACUUGUAUUUCUAGAAAGAAAAAUGCAAAGUUAAUACCAAUCAACAAUGCCUCGAUCAAUACCAAACAAAGAUCGUAUAUAAAUCUCAAACUAGAUUGGAAGUUAAUCCCUCCUUCAACAUUCAAAGACUACACGCAAGGAUAAAUACUGAGUUACUCGAACCCUCCAAGAAUACAGUACUUUUGGAGGAUCUCGACAUUUUUGGGUUGUUACAGCAAAAUAAGACUUGCAGAAGUAGCAUGUAAGGCAGUAGAUUCAAACAAUCAUGAGGGAACAAAGCAAAUCAAUUGGACACAAGUUAAGCCGGAUAAACAACAAUUGGACAGAACACUGUAAAACAGAAAAUCUUGAAGCAGUGUUGCUGCACUGCAGAAAAUUAAACUCAAAUAUAUGGGUAGUUCUAUGUAGAAAACUGCAGCAGGCUAAGUGACUACUGUCGUAAUGCAUAAAAAACCUUAUAGAUACAAUGCAUUUGUUUGUGAGUCUCGCCUCCUAUAUUUAACCGAAGCAUUACAAUUAUGUAAGUAUAUCGUACUUUAAAAGUUACAUGUAACAGGCCUAGUUCAUAUUUCGCUCGCAAAAUAUCAACAUCGAAGACAGAAUAUGCACUCUAUACAAAAAUAUGCACUCUAUACAAAAUAUGAAUCUUCAUCAGGCACAUACAACAGUUACAAAAUCGAGUCACUAUUAGAAACUCAACCCAAUAAGUGAUUCACUGAUUGUACAUAAGAAAACAUAACAGAAAUUUUUAACCUAUCUAAUGUUAGAAAAGAGGAAGAACAAGAAGAAGAGUAACUUAAAUAAAACAAUAAAAAUCCAUCAAUAUAGUUUAUGAAAUUCGAAACAAUAGAAACUUGAUGAGAAGAAGAAGCAAACCUGUACGAUCUGUUUCACCAAGCAGCUGAACUACAACUGUACGAUGAAGAAGACAGAGCUGCGAUUGAAAGUACUUUGAUGUUAAGAUUGGGUCGAUCAGACGCUGUAUAUAGUUGAGAAGAACAAAGAUCGAUAGGUAUCGAAAGCUACAACCAGCAGCCAAAGAGUUUUUCCUUUUUACGCUUAAUUACUUUUAGAAAACAGAGGAGGGUUUUUCCCUUUUUACAUUUAAUUGCUUUUAGAAAACAGAGGAGGGUUUUUUCCUUUCUGACUAAAAAACUGGCGCCUAAAUUUUGGUGAAAAAACAAAAGUCUUUUUAAUACUUUAGUACUAAAUUUUGUGUGAAAGUCGCGCUAAAUUUUUCAAUUAAAAUUUGGGACCAGUUAAUAUGUUAUUUAGGGACCGGAUUAAGUAGCUUCGCAAUAGAAUAUACAUAUAAGGACCGGAAUAUAAUCUCGUCCUAAUACAUAUAUCUUUAGAGACGAAAUUAGUAGCUCGUCCCUAAAUAUUGGUCUUAAAUAAGCGUUUUUCCUGUAGUGAUUUGUCAUAAAUUAAUUAUAUUAAUGGCCCAAACAAAAAUCAAGCAAUUAUGAUAUAGAUUAAAUAUAUUGUUUUUUUCUAAUCAUGAAUCACAAUAAAUACAUAGGAAAAACUAAAAGUGAAUUAAAGAAUUCGGUACCUUAUGAAAGUCGGAGAAAUUAUCGAUAAUGUGGCGAAUUGAAAGACUGUUGUCAAAGAGAUAUGAGGAAAGAACUUAAGUGGUUAUUGUUGCUUCCUAAAAUGCUACUUUGUGAAUUCUAGCAAGAAAACUUUUUAUUGUAUUAUAAUUGUAUAUUAAUUUGUAUAUAUCAUAUCGAUAAUUCAACUACUGAUAACUAGUGCUAGUUCAUAUAUUAUUGGGUCCGUACAUAAUUUAAUCCUAAACUAAGCUACCCUUAUUGUAGAAAAAAGGGGUAAAUAUGUAUUUUUCAUAAUUUUAAUCCAUGUAUAAUUAAUACCCACAUAACUUACUCAAUCUCUCUACCCUACAUAGAUUUUCUCAAUAGAUGCGAAAAUACUCAACACAAGGAAACACAUCUCAUAAGCUCGAAAACAGUCAUCGAUUACAGUCCAGGUGAGACGAAGGUGCAAAGUUCUCAUCCUAAUAGUCAAAAACUCGCAUACUCAGGUGAAGAAGGUCAAUUUAUUGAAACUUCAAUAGCUCAAGGCCAGGCUGUGAACAAAAUCGAGUACUUCAAACACAGAUAAAUACAUGAAUUUCAAAUGCUAUGGAAGGCAUGGGUAAUUUUGAGAAGCCUCAUCAAGACUUGACAAUUCUCAAUAACUCUAAAGAAGUUAUUUCUAGCAGUGAUGAACCAAAUGUUCAACAAAGUUCCAACAAUCGAAUCACAGAACUUCAACGUAAGUGUCAUAGGAACUCUCUCUCAAUCUCUUCGGAUAGGAUUAAUCAAUUGUGUUAGUAAUAAAGAUGCACUUCAACAAAUAAAUGUAAGUGCUAAUAUAAAUCCUCUUGCUGAUCAAGGUAAGUAUACUAAUGCUCAUACGAUACUUAAUGUGUAACACCAAGUACCCUAGAAAGACCAACCAACAGGCUUUUCAGAAGUUGCAGGUGCAACCCAUGGACCGUAGGGUGACCCAUGGACCGUUGGUGGGGUCCGUGGUUGGCCACCUGCAACCCACCCAGAAACCCCCCAGAAAAUUUAGCUAAGGGUUGACCUAUGCCUGGAUCUACGGGUCAUAGGUGGGACCACGGUCGGUGGAUCGUGGUUCGCAAUAAAACUCUAGAAAACCUCGACACAUGUCUAGGACCUAUGGGACUUAAAUAGGACCACGGUCCAUGGAUCGUGGUCCAUAGAAAAACCCCAGAAAUCCCCGACCCACGCCCAGGAUCUACAGACCGUAGGCUGAACCACGGUCAAUGGACCACGUCUAUGGAACGUGGUCCGUAGAAUCUAUCCUCUGAAGCCAAACGACGGCUGACCAGGACUGAACGUAGAGUGGACCAAGUUCGUCGUUAGCCGUGACAACUUUUAAGUCAGGGAUUAUUUAGAUUUUUCCCUAGGCAUUGGACCUUAAACUAUGCCGUUCAACCCCUAAACUACGUAGUUUUGGUCAGUUUUAGCCUAGUAACUUAAUUAGAACUUACCCUAGUCAACUCAUUCUCCUAUAAUUGAUUAAGUUGAACUAGAAAAGGGAGAAAGAGUCGACCUAACCCUUUCAAGAACGCAACAGGGUUUUCUUCAAUUCUAGCCCCGAAAUCGAAAGAUUUCUCCGUAAUUCCAUCACCAGGUAUGUGAGAUUUCACUAGUGGGUUUCAUUUACCCAUUAGGUCCCUAGAAUUCAGUCAGAUUCUUGAUUCUCUACAUCAUACUCUGGCCUAGAUUUUCUAGAAUUUCAAAUUUAUGCUGUGAUUUAGUUGUUAGACUAAUCCAAAUCAGAUUAUCAUGUUCCCAUGGAAUUAUAUCUUAGUUCUUUCUUGAAAAUUCGAACCCUAGUUGUAGAGAUUAAUUUAGUUGAUGAAUUACACUUGCUAGGUCAGUAUAUUCAGUUAUACAUGCUCGAGUUAAGAAUGUUUCAUUAACAGUAUAUUAAUGUUGCAUUUUCAGUUAACAUGUUAGUAUCUAGACCUAUUUAGUUUAUUACAGUUUUGUUGUAUUUCAUAAAUUACAUUAGGAGUAGGCUUAAUAUCGAGUUGGACUAGGGUCAGUCAUCCUCAUAGUCCCAAAACUACGUGCCCCUGAUAGGUUAAGUCCACUUUGUUGGGCAUUAGUUUUAGUGAUCACGCCAGACAUGCCUUUAUACCCUUGGCAAGGUAUAUUGGGUCCUCUCGAUGGGGCGUUUACAUCGGACUCCACAUUUAGAUCAUGUGAUUUUAUUUCAGUUAUUAGUAGCUCCCACAAUCAGAUUUUAGUGUAUUGAGCAGGUUAUCAAUUACAGUUCAGUAUUCAGUUUUAGCAUGAAUAAUCUUUGUCAUUGCAUUCAGUUAGUUCAUGUUCAAUAUUUUCAGUAUAGUAUCAGGCUCAUCUUAAAUCAUUGCUCAGUUAUAUGCCUUGUUCAGUUAUGUACAUUGUUCAGCUUUAUUCUAUCCCGCAUGCUCAGUACUUUCCCAGUACUGACGCAUACUCUUCGCUACAUCUUUUCGUGAUAUAGGUUCAGGUCCUCAACAUUCAGAUCACGCAUAGAUCGGUUUCCGAUCUUCAGUUCAGCAGCUUCGAUGGGGAGUCCUCAUAUUUUGAGGACGAUAGACAUGUUUCUACAUUUUGUCUUUUCUUUUCAAUUUUCAGUAUUUUCUAGACUUAGUUUGGGCACGUCCUAGGAUUUGUACUUAUUCAGGUGUUAUUUAUGUAGGAAUAAGAUAUGUAGGUAUUAUUUAGGCACGAAUAAGUUAUGUAGGUAUUGGUUAUGCAUGUAUUAGUUAUGUAGGAAUAAUAAUAAAUAAAUUAUUUCUUAUUGAAAGUUUGAUUUGUCAUAAUUAUAUGCGGGGCCCAAACAAAAAUCAAGUAAUUAUGAUAUUGAUUAAAUAUAUUGUUUUUUUCUAAUCAUGAAUCACAUUAAAUACGUAGGAAAAAUUAAAAGUGAAUUAAAGAAUUCGGUAUCUUAUAAACGUCGGACAAAUUAUCGAUAAUGUGGAGAAUUGAAAAAAUGUUGUCAAAGAGAAAUGAGGAAACAACUUAAGCGGUUAUUGUUGCUUCCUAAAAUGCUACUUUGUGAAUUCUAGCAAGAACACGUUUUAAUGUUUAAAGAUAUAAAUAUUUUAAACUAUAUAUUAUAAUUGUAUAUAAAUUUGAAUAUAUCAUAUUGAUAAUUCAACUAAUGAUAACUAGUGCUAAUUCAUAUAUUACUGGGUCCAUACGUAAUUUGGUCAUCAACUAAGCUACCCUUAUUGAAAAAAAGAAGGUGUACAUAUGUAAUUUUAUAAUAUUUAAUCCAUGCAUAACUAAUACCCAUAUAACUUAUUCCAUCUCUAUACCCUACAUAUAUUUCCUCAAUAGAUGCCAAAAUACUCAAUACAAGGAAAUACAUCUCAUAAGCUCAAAAAUAGUCAUCGAUUACAGUCCAGGUGAGACGAAGGUUCAAAGUUUUCUUCCUAAUAGUCAAAAAAGUCGCAUACUCAGGUGAAGAAGGUCAAUUUAUUAAACCUUCAGGAGCUCAAGGCCAGGCUGUGAACAAAAUCGAGUACUUGAAACACAAAGAGAUACAUGAAUUUCAAAUGCUAUAGAAGGCCUGGGUAAUUCUGAGCAGCCCCAUCAAAACUUGACGAUACUCAAUAAUGCUAAAGAAGUUAUGUCUAGCAGUGAUCAACGAAAUGUUCAACAAAGUUCUAACAAUCGAAUCACAGAUCCUCAAGGUAAGUGUCAUAACAACUCUUUCUCAAUCUCUUUGGAUAGGAUUAAUUGUGUUAGUAAUAAAGAUGCACUUCAAUAAAUGAAUGUAAGUGCUAAUACAAGACCUCUUGCUGAAUAAGGUAAGUAUACUAAUGCUCAUCCAAUGCUUAAUGUGUAAAACCACGUGCCCUCGAAAGACCAACCAGUAGGUUGUUCAGAAGUUGCAGGUGCCACCCAUGGACCGUAGGGUGACACAUGGACCAUAGGUGGGGUCCAUGGUUGACCACCUGCAACCCACCCUAAAAUCCCCAAGAAAAUUCAGCUAAUGGUUGACCUACACGUGGAUCAAUGGGUCGUAGGUGGGACUACGGUCCGUGGAUUGUGGUCCACAAAAAAAUCCUAGGAAACUCCGAACAAUGGCCAGGACCUACGGGCAGUAGGUGGGACCACGGUCUGCGGACCAGGUCUGUGUAUAGUGGUCCGUAAAAAAACCCCAGAAAACCCAGACCCACGCCCAGGAUCUACAGACCAUAGGCUGAACCACGGUCAGUGGACCAGGUCUAUGGAACGUGGUUCGCAGAACCUAUCCUCUGAAGCCGAACGACGGCUAACCAGGAUGGACCGUAGGGUCGACCAUGGUCCAUGGACCAGGUCCGUCUUUGGCCGUGAUAACUUUUAAGUCAGGGACCAUUUGGUCUUUUCCCCAUGCGUUGGACCCCUAAACUAUGUCGUUUAACCCUGAACUACAUAGUUUUGGUCAGUGUUAGCCUAGUAACUUAAUUAGAACUUACCCUAGUCAACUCAUUCUCCUAUAAUUGAUCAAGUUGAACUAGAAAAUGAAGAAAGAGUCGACCAAACCUUGUCAAGAACGAACAGGGUUUUCUUCAAUUCCAGCCCCGAAAUCGAAAGAUUUCUCCGUAAUUCCAUCACCAGGUAUGUGAGAUUUCACUAGUGGGUUUAUUUCACCCAUUAGAUCCCUAGAAUUCACUCAGAUUCUUGAUUCUCUACAUCAUGCUUUGACCUAAUGUUUCUAGAAUUUUAGAUUUAUGUUGUGAUUUAGUUGUUAAACUAAUCCAAAUCAAAUUUUCAUGUUUCCGUGGAAUUAUUUCUUAGUUCUUUCUUGAAACUUAAAACCCUAGUUGUAGAGACUAAUUUAGUUCAUGAAUUACACUUGCUAUGUAAGUUUAUUCAGUUAUACAUGCUCUAGUUAAGAAUGUUUCAUUAUCAGUAUAUUAAUGUUGCAUGUUCAAUUAACAUGUUAGAAUCUCAAACUAUUCAGCUUAUUACAGUUUUGUUGUAUUUCAUACAUUCUAUUGGGAGUAGGCUUAAUACCGAGUUCGACUAGGGUCAGUCACCCUCAAUGUCCUAAAACUACGUGCCCCCAUAAGUUAAGUCCACUCUAUUGGGCAUUACCUUUUGUGAUCACGCCGGUCAUGCCUCUAUACCCUUGGCAAGGUGUAUUCGGUCCUCUCGACGGGGAAUUUACAUCAGACUCCACAUUUAGCUCAUGUGAUUUUAGGUCGGUUAUUAGUAGCUCCCACAGUCAGCUUUUAGUGUAUUGACCAGGUUAUUAAUUACAGUUCAGUAUUCAGUUUUAGCAUGUAUAAUCUUGGUCAUUUCAUUCAGUUAGUUCAUGUUCAAUAUUUUCAGUAUAGUAUCAUGCUCAUCUUACAUCAUUUCUUAGUUAAAUGCCUUAUUUAGUUAUGUAUAUUGUUCAGCUUUAUUCUAUUCUGCAUGCUCAUACCUUUCAAGUACUGACGCAUACUCUGUGCUACAUAUUUUUGUGAUGUAGGUUCAAGUCCUCAACAUUCAGAUCAUGCAUAGAUCGAUUUCUGAUCUUCAGUUCACCAGCUUCUAUGGUGAGUGCUCAAAUUUUGAGAAUGAUAGACAUGUUUCUAUAUUUAGUCUUUUCUUUUCAAUUUUCAGUAUUUGCUAAAGUUUUUUGGGGCAUGUCCUAGGAUCUCUAGUCAGUUAGAGGCUUUAUUUCAGACAUAGUUAGAUUCAACUUUAGCAUUUGAGUUUAGUUUCAGUAUCUUAAACUCUUUUCAGUUAUCUAUUCAGAUAGUAUUUGGUAUUUUAUCAUUUCAGUUUACCUUAUGUUUUAAGUUUCCGCACAAUAUAUCUUGUUUCAGUUUAUCUUUAAGUAUACUUAUGAUAUGCUAGUAGGGUUAGCUUGUGGUCACUCGUGAUCCUAGGUCCCGUGUCUGCGUCCUGGGGGUAGCUUCAGGGCGUGACAAACUUUGUAUCAGAGCACUAGGUUUAAGAGUCCUAGGAUGUCUAAAAAGCCGCACUAAGUAGAGUCCUUUUCAAAGCUGUGAAGUGCACAACAUCUAAUGAGAGGGAGCCUACGAAGUGUUUUAGGAAAACUUCAUUCUCUUUGUUAUUCUUAUCGUGCGUGAGGUAUGAUCCAAUUACCUCGUUCUAAUCUGUCGUUAUGCGCUUAAGAUCAUGCCUCCUCGUAGAGCUUACGCAUGGAAUGCUAAUGCACGCCAUCCUAAUGCAGUUCCUCUAGUCCCAAACAAUGAGGUUUCGAACGCAGAGUUUUGGAAUGCAAUUCAGCUUUUGUCUCAGAGUAUGACAAACCAGGACAAUCAGCAGGUUCUUGUUCCUACUAAUAGUAAUGGUGGAUCAGUCAAUGGCAACUAGAGUUCGAGGUAUUUAUAGGAUGAAUCUGUCUUUGUUUCUAAGGUCAUAAGUUGGUGAGGACCCACAGAAUAUCAUUGAUGAGGUUAAGAAAGUCUUUGGAGUGAUGCAAGUGACUAGUAGUGAUAGGCUGGAAUUGGAAUCCUACUAGCUUAAGGAUGUGGCUCGAAUAUGGUUAACUUAGUAGAAAGACAAUAGGGGCCAGUUUGGUUUUUGUAACUCCCAAUAUAGCAGUAAACUUAGGUGUCAAUCCAGAAACUUUUUCAGUACCCUUCUCAGUCUCUACUCCAUUCGGUGACCCAGUUAUAAGUAGACGGGUAUAUAGAAAUUACCAUGUCACAGUCUUACAGAAAUUCACCUCAGUAGAUCUUGUAGAGUUAGAAAUGGUAGACUUUUAUAUCAUUCUAGGCAUGUAUUGGUUACAUUCUUGUUAUGCAUCAGUCGAUUGUAGAACUAGGAUCGUUCAUUUUUGGUUUCUAGACGAGCCAAACUCAUAAUAGAAGGGUAGUAGCUCAAUGCCUAUGGGCCGAUUCAUUUCUUACCUUAAGGCCAGAAAGAUGAUUUCCAAGGGGUCUAUCUAUCAUCUAGUUCAGGUCAAGGAUUCAGGCCCCAAAACCCCAAAUCUUGAGUCAGUCCCCGUAGUUAAUGUCUUCCUAGAUGUUUUUCCAGAAGAUCUUCCCGAAGUUCCUCCCGAGAGAAAAACCAACUUUGGAAUUGAUCUCCUUCAAGGUACCCACCCUAUUUCUAUUCCUCCUUACAAAAUGGCUCCAACUGAGCUUAAGGAAUUAAAAGAGUAGUUGAAAGACCUUCUAGAUAAGGGAUUUAUUAGACCCAGUAUUUCCCCAUGAGGUGCACCAGUGUUGUUUGUGAAAAACAAAGAUGGUUCUCUCAGGAUGUGCAUUAACUAUCGGUAGUUGAACAAAGUCACAAUCAAGAAUAAGUACCCCAUCCCUAAGAUUGAUGACUUGUUUGACCAACUUUAGGGUGCUAGUCAUUUCUCGAAGAUAGACCUCAGAUCCGAUUAUCAUCAACUCAGAAUCAGAGAUAGUGAUACUCCAAACACAACCUUCAGAACUCGAUAUGGUCUUUAUGAAUUUGUAGUUAUGUCAUUUGGACUAACCAAAACUGCUGCAACUUUCAUGGAUUUGAUGAACAAAGUGUUAAAGCAGUAUUUGGACUUGUUCGUUAUCGUCUUUAUUGAUGAUAUCUUCAUUACCCUAGGAAUGAGAAAGAACAUGUGACUCAUUUGAGGGUUGUCCUGCAAACUCUCAAAGAUCGCCAGUUCUUUGCUAAAUUUAGCAAGUGUGAGUUUUGGUUGCAAUCAUUUGCUUUCCUUGGGCAUACAAUGUCUAGCGAAGUAAUCCGAGUGGAUUCUCAAAAAGUAGAUGUUGUGAAGCAAUGGCCCAGACCUACCUCUCCUACAUAUAUCUAAAGUUUCUUGGGUCUAUCACGUUAUUACAGAACGUUUGUGGAAUGAUUUUGAACCAUAGCUUCUCCAUUGACUAAGUUGACUCAAAAAAAGGUUAUGUUUCAGUGGUCAUACGAGUGUGAGAAAAGCUUUGCAAAAUUGAAAACUAAGUUGACUACAGCUCCUUCUUUGACUCUACCAGAGGAUUCAGACGGUUUUGUGAUCUAUUGUGAUGCAUCCAGAGUCGGCCUAGGUUGUAUGUUAAUACAACGGGGUAAUGUUAUAGCUUAUGCUUCUAGACAGAUUAAGGUGCAUGAGAAAACCUAUUAGACUCAUGACCUCGAGCUUGCAGCGGUGGUAUUUUCCCUAAAGAUUUGGAGACAUUACUUGUAUGGUGUUCACGUAUAUGAAUUCACAAACCAUAAGAGCCUUCAGUAUUUGUUCACCCAGAAAGAGUUGAAUCCUCACCAGAGGAGAUGACUUGAAUUCCUCAAGGGCAAUGAUAUGAAUGUGCUUUAUCAUCCUGGCAAGGACAAUAUAGUAGCAGAUGCUCUUAGUAAGUCAUCUAUGGGUAGUGUAGCACACGUUGAUGAAGAAACAAAAGAACUAGCGAAAGAUUUUCACAGGCUUGCUCGCUUGGGAGUUUACCUUAUGAGCAUAUUAGAUGGUGGUGUAAUAGUUCAGAAUGGGUCAGAAUCUUCAUUAGUAGUGGGGGUUAAGGAAAAAAAACACAGUGAUUCGAUAUUGCUUCAACUCAAGGGUGUAGUUCAUCAGCAGAGAGUUGAGGUUUUCUCACGGGGGAGAUGGUGUGCUUCUCUAUCAGGAUCAUUUAUGUGUUCCUAAGGUGGGUGAGUUGAGACAAUAGAUUCUUGAAGAAGCCCAUAACUCCAGGUAUACUAUUCAUCCAGGUUCCACCAAGAUAUACCAUGAUCUGCGAGAAGUCUUUUGGUGGAAUGGUAUGGAAAAGGAUAUAGCACAUUUUUUGGUUAAGUGCCCAAAUUUCCAGCAAGUAAAAGGUAGAACGUCUGAAAACAGAAGGUAUGACUCAAGAGAUCAAUAUUCCUACUUGGAAGUGGGAAGUGAUCAACAUGGACUUCAUUACUGGUUUACUUCGUACUCGCAGACAACAUAACCAGAUUUGGGUGAUAGUUGACAGAGUUACUAAUUUUGCGCACUUUUUGGCUGUUAAGACUAUAGAUUCGGCAGAGGACUACGCCAAGCUUUACAUUAAUGAGAUAGUUAGGUUGCAUGGGGUUCCUUUGUCUAUCAUCUCAAAUAGAGGUCACCAGUUUACCUCUCAUUUUUGGAAGUCAUUUCAGAAAGGCCAUGGUACUUAGGUUAAUCUUAGCACAACAUUGCAUCCAGAGACAGAUGGUCAGGCAGAGCGUAGCAUUCAUACCUUAGAGGACAUGUUGAGAGCUUGUGUGAUCGACAUCAAUGGUAGUUGGGAUGAUCACCUUUCUCUUAUAGUGUUUUCCUACAAUAAUAGUUACCAUUCUAGUACUCAGAUGGCCUCUUAUGAGGCAUUGUAUGGGCAUAGAUGUAGAUCUCCAGUUGGUUGGUUUGAAGUAGGUGAAGCAGCCUUGAUAGGGACAAAUUCGGCCUAUGAUGCCAUAGAAAAAGUUCAACUCUUUAGAGAUAGACUUAAGACAGCCCAGAGUCGCCAGAAGUCCUAUGCAGAUGUAAGGAGAAGAGACUUGGAGUUCCAAGUUGAUGAUUGAGUUUUCCUGAAAGUGCCACCUAUAAAGGGGGUGAUGAGAUUUGGCAAGAAAGGGAAGCUCAGUCCUAGAUAUGUAGGCCCUUACAAGAUCUUGAAAAGAGUUGGUAAAGUAGCUUAUGAGUUAGAGUUUCCAGCAAAAAAAGCAGUAGUGCAUCCGUUCUUUCACAUUUCAUUGUUGAAGAAGUGUGUGAGUGAUCCAUCAUCUAUAGUACCAUUGGAAAGUGUGGUUGUGAAGCGUAGUCUCACUUAUGAGGACGUGCCAUUUGAGAUUCUUGAUCGUCAGGUUCGAAGGUUGAGAAACAAGAAAGUCGCUUCAGUAAAGGUUUUGUGGAGAAGUCGGUCAGUAGAGGGAGCUACUUGGGAAGCAGAAGCAACCAUGAAGGCCAACUAUCCUCAUCUCUUUCUUUCCGAUUCCAUUCCAUCUUGAGGUAAUAGUUCCUCUCCAGUAUCUCAGUUUACUCUUGCAUGAACUCAAUCUUAGUAUCAUGUUCUUUCAGUUGGUCUUGCAUUUUCAGCGUUUUUGCACGACCUUAUAAAUCAGUUCAGUCACAAAUCAGUUUUUGCACAUAGUGGUAAGGUUUGCAGCUCUUUCCCUCCAAAUUCACAUAGUUUAAACUUCAUUCAAGGACUAAUGUUCCCAAGGGGAGAUAAUGUAACACCCCGGACACUAGAAAGACCAACUAGCAGGCUUUUCAGAUGUUGCAGGUGCCACUGACGGACCGUAGGAUGACCCACGGACCGCAGAUAGGGUCCAUGGUUGGCCAUCUACAACCCACCCAAAAAAACCCCUGAAAAUUCAGCUAAGGGUUGACCUACGCCUGGACGUAUGGGCAGUAGGUGGGACCACAAUCUGUGGAUCGUGGUCUGCAGAAAAAUAGCAGAAAACCCAGACCUAUGGCCAGGACCUAGAGGCUUUAGGUGGGACCACGGUCUGUGGACCAGGUACGUGAAUCGUGGUCCGCAGAAAAACCCCAAAAAAUCCCGACCCACAGCCAUGAUCUAUGGACUGUAACUUGAACCACAAUCCGUGGACCAGGUCCGUUGAACGUGGUCUGCAGAAUCAAUCCUCUGAAGUCGAAUGACGGCUGACCAGGAUGGACAAUAGGUUGGACCACGGUCCGUGGACUAGGUCCUUCAUUGGCGCCGACACCUUUUAAGUCAGGGAUCAUUUGGUCUUUCCGCUAUGCGUUUGACCCCUAAACUAUGUCAUUUAACCCUUAAACUCCAUAGUUUUGGUCAAUUUUAGCCUAGUAACUUAAUUAGAACUUACCCUACUCUACUCAUUCUCCUAAAAUUCAUCAAGUUGAAUGAGAAAAGGGAGAAAGAGUCGACCAAACUGUCUGAAGAACGCAAAAGGGUUUUUCUUUAGUUCCAGCCCUGAAAUAGAAAGAUUUCUCCAUGAAUUUUGUCACCAGGUAUGUGAGAUUUCACUAGUGAGUUCUUUUCACCUAUUAGAUCCCUAGAAUUCAGUUAGAUUCUUGAUUCUCUACAUCAUGCUCAGACCUAGGAUUUCUAGAAUUUUAGAUUUAUGUUGUGAUUCAAUUGUUAGACUAAUCCAAAUCAGAUUAUCAUAUUUUCGUGGAAUUAUUGCUUAGUUCUUGCUUGAAACUCAUAACACUAGUUGGGUAGAUUCAUUUAGUUCAUGAAUACACUUUCUAGGUCAGUUUAUUCAAUUAUACAUGCUCCAAUUAAUAAUGUUUCAUUAUUAGUAUAUUAAUGUUGCCUUUUCAGUUAACAUGUCAGAAUCUCGAGCUAUUUGGUUUAUUACAGUUCUGUUGUAUUUCAUACACUCUUUUAGGAGUAAGCUUAAUAUCGAGUUGGACUACGGUCAAUCACCCUCAUAGUCUCAGAAUUACGUGCCCCCAUAGGUUAAGUCCCCUUUAUUGGGCAUCAGUUUUAGUGAUCACGCCAGUCAUGCCUCUAUACCCUUGGCAAGGUAUAUUGGAUCCUCUUGAUGGAGCGUAUACAUCAGACUCCACAUUUAGCUCAUGUGGUUUUAUGUCGGUUAUUAGUAGCUCCUACAGUCAGAUUCAUGUGUAUUGACCAUGUUAUUAGUUACAGUUCAGUAUUCAGUUUCAUCAUUUAUAAACUUGGUCAGUGCAUUCUGUUAGCUCAUGUUCAAUAUUUUCAGUAUAGUAUCAUGCUCAUCUUAUAUCAUUGCUCAGUUAUAUGCCUUGUCCAGUUAUGUAUAUUUUUCAGCUUUAUUCUAUCAUGCAUGCUCAGUACCUUUCAAGUACUGAUGGAUACUUUGCGCUACAUCUUUUCGUGAUGCAGGUUCAGGCCCUCAGCAUUCAGAUCACGCAUAGAUCGGUUCCCGAUCUUUAGUUCAACAACUUCAAUGGUGUGUCCUCAUAUUUCGAGGACAAUAUACAUGAUUCUAUAGUUAAUCUUUUCUUUUCAAUUUUCAAUUGCUAGAGUUAGUUGGGGCAUGCCCCAACAUCUGUAGUUAGUUAGAGGAUUUAUUUCAGACAUAGUUAGAUUCAACUUUAGUAUUUGAGUUUAGUUUCAGUAUCGUAAACUCUUCUCAGUUAUAUAUUCAGAUAGUAUUGGUUAUUCCCCAUCAUUUCAGUAUACCUUAUGUUUUAAGCUUCCACACAGUAUUUCUUGUUUCAGUUUAUCUUUAAAUAUGGUUAUGAUAUGUCAGUAGGGUUAGCUUAGGGUCACUCGUGAUCCUAGGUUCCGUGUCUACGCCUGGCGGUAGCUUCGGGGCAUGACAUAAUGAUCCCAAGAUGUUUGUUAAUAAUGAAGCUAAAUUGCAAUCUGAUGCAAUUGGGCAACAUUUGAGUACGUGAACCCUUCUAUGCAUAUUGUUGGAAAAGAAAAAAAAAUUGGCAAGUUCGUCUUGACAAAAUUCUAUCUGUGUCGAUCUUAACAAUUCCAUCAAUUAUAAGGUUUUAAAUGUUGAAGAGAGUAGAACUAAAGAUGUAUCUACCACCUCUGCAAAACCUAUUGCUCUUAUUCCCCAUGAUCUCACAAAACUUACUUCCAACUUCGAUAAACAUAUUCCCAAGAACCCUCAAAAGAAACAUCAAUCUCAAAUGGAAAAUAAUACCAAAGUUUUUACACACCAUGAUCAUUGCAGAAACACCAAAAAUGGGCUGACCCAUGAACCAGGUCCUUUCAUUGUGAUCCAAACUUUUGCGACAAGUCUACGAGCUAACCAAGUGAAGAAUGAAAUCCCUACUGAGAUAUAUACUACAUUCACUACAAGACAAGACCUACUAGCAGUGAUAUUUAAAAGAGAGGAUUUUUGGUGAAAUUAGCUUCAAGAUGCAAAUACACUAUGGUUGGGAAAUUCACAAACAGAACUAUGCCAAAAUUGAACUUAUCAGGAAUAGUUUUGUCCUUCAAAUUCAGCUUAUUGGUGCUGUAAAAAUAGCAAAAUUUACUGCGAGGCAUAUUUAUAUUGACUUGGACAAAGGAAGAAGAGCAUAUUUCUAUGUGGAACAUACAAAAGAUGUACAGCGAGGGUCUAUUAAUAAGACUCCAAGUCUAUACCCCCACCUUCACUCCUGAGGAAAAGACUCCCAUUGUGCCUAUAUAGGUUACUCUACCAGAGCUACCUAGAUAUUGCUAUAACAAAGAGUUUUUUACUGCGCUUUUAUCUCCUAUUGGUAAAACUUUAUAUUUGGAUGCUACAUCUCUCCAAAAAAUAGAGGGAGUGUGUCAAAAAUUAGGAUGCAAAUAGACAUUACGAAAGAAAGAUCUCAUCAUGUUUGGAUGGGGUUUGAUGAAGAAGGCAUUACUGUGGGAAGAUGGCAAGCCAUCCAAUAGGAGGGUCUACCAAGGUAUUGUUCUUAUUGGAAACACCAAGGACACAUAUCACAAGUUUGUAACUUAAAGAUAAGAGAUGAAGAAUAUAAGAAGAGAAAAGAAGCUGAAGCUGCAAAUAAAAUCACGAUAAAGAAGAUUGCAGAUGCCAGCAAUCGGGUAAUUCCAAAAACUUCUCCUCAAUAGGUUAAUACUCAUAUUACUGCUACUGUUUCACGUGUUGAGGAUACCAAAAAACAAAUGCAAGAAACACAACCUGAGAUGGACAAACAACAAAUGGAUGAGUGGCAAACUCAAAAAAGGAAAAAUAACAAGGGUUGGCAAGGCCAUGGUCAGCAAAAUAAAGUCUACAAACCAAUGAACAACCUAAAUUUGCAGGAAAAUAAUUUUGAAGAGCAGCACGUGGAAAAGUCAGGCAUUGAUUUAACUCUCCCACAACCCUCAUUCCCUUGAUAAAAUUGAUCAAACAGGUCCAUGUGAUGGUAAUCAGAAAGCUCAAAAUAAACAGACCAAAGAUGGCAAAAUAACCCAACGUAUUGACUCAAUUCUCCCCAGACCCCCAUGAACCCCCUAAUAAUAAUUUUCGGUUGUUGGUUGUUUCUGAAGUUAUGGGAGGUGAGGUGGAUGAGACCAAUGAGAAACCUACUAAAUUGCAGGAAGGGAUAACCAAAGGGGGGGAUUUGUCCCAUGCUUUGCAUGGGAACCUUAUGAAUGACCCUAGGAUAGACUCUAGAGCCCCUACUACCACUACUCGAUGUGCUAAUUUUGAACGACUUCAGAACAUUACUGCUAACAUCAGUGUUUCAGAAGGUGAUCAAUGUGGUAUCUCAAUUGAGGCAGAAGGGUUCACAAACAUUAAGAAUGAGAGUGAUAAGGCAGAACUUAAUGAUCUUCAAAUUAUGGUAAAUUCUCAGAAAAUGGUUGAAAUCACUGGGGAAAUCAGGUACAAAAUCAAAGGUUAGAAGGUCCUACCAAGUCAAAACUUGAAAAGAAAAAAAGAGAGCUUCAAAAGGAAGAUCAGCCAAGACGUGAGGUUGUUACUUGUAUCGAGUCUAUGGAACAAAAUAACAGUAACCAAACAGGGUAUCAAGAAAUCAACAAACUUCAGCAUGCUCAAUCCAGUUAUCAUAAUGUACAGCCAUGAGGUAAACCUGCAAAUAAAAACACACCUACCAAGAAAGAGGUAUGGAGAAACUACUAAACCUCUUAAUAAUAAGUCUCAGUCCCAACUAAGUAAAAAGAAAAGAGAUGCAAUAAAGAGAAGAAAAGUAAAGGAGGAGGUUGCACAACAACAACCAAUGAAAAAAAUUAUCCUAGUUAAUGAGCUGGGUGGUUUGGAUAUAACUCCUCUCCAAACUAAAGAAACCUCUUCCCAACAUCCUAAUGUUUAUGUUCUCUCAAGAUCAUUCAUACAAAACCUCCAGAUAGUAGUAGCGAUUAUGAUGUACUGCACUGUGAGGAUGAAUUUGAUCAAGACACUAAACCAUUGAAGAGGAUGAUGAGGAAGAGUAAAAAGUGCACAUCUUAUUAAAGCUUUCAGAUCAACACUGGAUAGAGAUCAGCAGGAAGAAGUCCACCGGGUUGCUGAAAAAGAAGGAUUAUCUCCUAGAAAUCAUAAGAGGAAAACUCACUUCACCAAGCAAAAUAGUGCCAGCAAUUCUGUCAAUACUAGCAGACAACUUAUAAGAUCCCAAAGUCAAGGUUAUUAAUGAUUAGUAAACAUUUGACUAUUCUGUAAUUAGGAAGUAGAAUGCAAAGUGUUGGAUUCUGAUGACCAAAAAAUUACUUGUGAGAUUAGUCAUGAUACUAAUCCUAUUACUCAUAUCAUUACUGUGGUGUAUCCCAAAUGCAAACAACACCUAAGAAGACCUCUCUGGGAUAGACUACUUCACUAUGCUGUUAGAGACAUUUUGUGGUGUACUAUAAGGUGAUUUUAAUGUAAUCACUGUUCCUGAAGAGAAACUAGGUGGCAUUCCCUAUAAAAUGAAGAAAAGCUUUGAUUUUAUUGGUGUCAUAGAAGCUUGUGGCCUUAUUGAUUUGUGAUUUCAUGGCCAGAAGAUCACAUGGUGUAACAAAAGGGAUCUAGAUCAUAUAAUUUGGAGAAGGCUUGAUAGAGCCAUGGUGAAUGACAAAUUGCUUGAACUCAUGCCUCUAUCUACUGUUUUGCAACUACCAUAUGUUGGCUCAGACCAUUGCCCUUUACUUCUUGUAAUGGCUAAGAGACAACAUGGCUCCAUCAAAUACUUUUAAGUUUUUACAUUGCUGGGUGGAGAAUAAAUCUUUCUUGAGCAUUGUUAAGGAUUGCUGGAACAGAGAAUUCACUGGCAGCCCUAUGUGGAUUUUUCAUAUGAAAUUGAAAAGGUUGACUUCUACUCUUAGAAAGUGGUCCAGAACUGAGUAUGGUGAUAUUUAUGCCAAUAUGAAGGAGUACGAAGAAAAAUUAGAGAAGAAAAGGAAGGGCUUAUCAAUAAUAACACUAUGGAAAAUAGAACUAAGCUCCAAUUGAUCAGAUGAUGCUUCUUUGAGAAUAAAUCAUAUCAAAUCCAAGCUCUACUCAUUGAGCACGACCUCGUCAUCAUACUUUUGCUUCUCUCUACAUAGUCGUACCAUGAAACAUUACCUUAGAUCUAUCUGUUGAUGCCUUAAGAUUUGGCCUAUAACCAAUAAACAACCGAGAUUGAGUGUUUAUAUCAAGUGGGCUAGAAUCAACGUACAAUGAUAUGCAUCUUUCGGGGUGAAAUAGAAAACAAGGAUAUGCAUCUUUAUUAUAAGCAUGACAUUUGCCAAUCCUAGCUCAUUGAAUUAUAACCACAACCAACUCAAACACAGCCCGAUGAACAUGAAUAAUAUAUACCAAUAUUACAACAGAAAGCCUUGGACCAAUGGUAAAGUUGUGUCCGUGUGACUGACCUAUAGGUCACGGGACCAAGCAGUGGAAUGCUUGGGUCAGUGUAGGCUACUUACAUACAUACACCCCCCCAUCCCUUUUCUUUAAGUGUGGAUCUUCCCCUAACCCAGUGUGAAUGGGGAUGCUUCAUGCACGGGAUCCCCAUUUUUAUACAAUCAAUCAACCAACAUUUUAACAAGAUCAUUAUCAAAUUUUGAAGUAAGACUUUUUUUUCUGCAAUUUCAUCAAAAAGUUCACUAGAAAUUGGAAGGCCGGCCUGCCAAGUAACAAAAAUAAAGCAGGAAUCAUCUCACUUAACAAGUAGGGAUGCUCACCCUUUUAGUUCCUCUAGGAAAAAACAUGCAACAUCUGUACCGUUAUUGUUUAACACGGUUAGAAAAUGCUUAAUAACCUCAGAUACAAUUGUCUCAUGCAUUGAAUGAUAAGGUAGUAUCUCAGGAGCAAGAUAUUCCUGUAGAUAUGCGUUACAGUGAUGAAAUAUGUUAGUAGCUGCUUAAAAAAAUAAAUGGUAAGAUGGAAAGAUAUCAUUAGUGAAACUGGUAAUUAGGGUUAAUAUUAAAAAUGGUAAUGUAACACCUCAGACAUCAGACUUGGACUUGCAGCAGAAAACAAUAGAAAUUGGUGAACCACAGCAGGGUUCACAGACCGUGAAAGGAACCAUGGUCCGUCGAUCUGCCCGUGGCUCAUGCCCACCCAGAAGAAGUGGACCACCCCACGAGCCGUGGGGAGGGUCGUGUAAGCUAGGUAGAACCAACCAGGCCCAAACAUCAGACCACGGUGCCCUCCACGGGCUGUGGUCUUGAUGACGAGCCGUGGUGGCGUCCGUCUUCUUGAGCCAGCAUGCCCUCAAGCCGAGUGAAGGACCGUGAUGGCCUUCACGGUCUGUGAUCUUUCACACGGUCUGUGAAGUGGACUGUAGUGGGAAGGGUCCUUAACCAGUAGUCACUGGCCAGUAAACCACGACCCACUUGAUGGGCUGUGGUCUCUUUGACGGUCCAUCAUAGGGUCCGUGGAAAGCCCUUGUUAGAUUUUAAGUGGGGUCAUUUUGGUCUUUUCCCCUAUGCAUUAGAAACCUAAAAUACGUUAUUUGACCCCUAAACUACGUCGUUUUACUCAGUUUAAGCCUAGUUAUUUAGUCAGAACUUAACCAAAACCUUUAUUCACCAAAAUUUAGAACAGAAGGAGAAGAAAGAGGUGUCAGUUUCCUCAAGAACACACAACAUGUUUUCUUCAAUUCCAGCACCGAAAUCGAAGGAUUUCUCCGUAAAUUUCAUCAAUAGGUAUGUGGGAUGUCACUAGUUGGUUCCUUUCAUCCACUAGGUUUCUAGAAUCUAGUUAGAAUCUUGAUUCCUAUAUCUUGUUUAGACCUAGGGUUUUCUAAAACCUUAGGAAUGGUUUUCAUUUAGCUGUUAUAGUAUUCUUAAUCAAAUUAUCAUGUUUUCGUGGAAUCGUUUCUUAGUCCUCUGCAUGGAACUCAGAAGCCCUGUAUCAAGAAGGACUGAAGCCCUGUAUCAAGAAGGAUUAAAGACCAAUAAUCAAGAGAAUCAAGAGCCAUAUUAAAAAUGGCUUCCUAGUUCAUAUUUAAAAUGGACCACUUCCAUACUUAAGACGAACCAAAAAUCCAGAGUCAAGAUGGCAAAUAAUCAGAAUCAAUAGGCAAUGCCAAUAGUGACAAAGUCACAGCCACAAGAAAGACAAAGUUCCAACAAGAAUAACAAGUGAUCAAGCAAUCCGUACAAGUGGGCGAGUUACACAAGUGUCUUGAAAGUCUCAGAGAAUAUCAAUACAACAAUACAAUUGUGACAAGAAGUAACCAAGGUAUCGAGAUAACCCUUCAAAUAUACAAGCAGAUAACAAGAGUACAGGUACAAGUUUAUACCCAAACCCCAGGCUUUAGAAUAGAAACAGUCCAACAAAACUUCAAGAAUUCAAACCGUAGCCUGACCAACGUAUCAAGGUUCUCAGCUUGUACACGAGUAUAUAUAACCUUAAAAAUACAAUUAAAUAACUUCUUUAACUUCUAUUAGCUCAAUAAUGUUGACGUAAAAUAGGAUCAUCAUCACAAAUAAGCCUAGCAUGUACAAAUACAACUAUGCUCCCAGAACAGUGAAUCUGUCCAGCCUAGUACCUCAAGUCGCAACUUCAAUUUGUAAAGGAAAAACGCAAAACUGGACUUUAUAUCCUUCAUGAAAGAUGUAGGUACAUAUCUAAGGGUUGCAAAUGAACAAGAAUCACCGCAAAAUAUAUUUUUUACAAAAAGAUAUAUUCAAAACACUAACAGUUGAUCAUACAGGAUUUCAAAUUCCGAAAUCUGGACAGAAAUUGCCCUAUACUGCGUCCCAUAUUCCGAAUCCAUAACAGCUAAAUUAGAGUUUGACAUAAACAUAAGGGUUGUAGGUAUACGAAUUAGCUUUCCAAAUCAUAUUUAUUCACUGUAAACGAAGUUCUAGAUAACGAGAUAUACAUAAAUUACCAAACAUUACCCAGCUUAGAAACAGAUUUCAUCACUUACCAAAGAGAAGGGUGUGUCUCGAAUCGAAACAGAUUUCAUCACUUACCAAGAGAAGGGUGUGUCUCGAAUCCCAGCCAAAAGCACAAAGUUUUCCUCUUGUGAUUUUGAAGAACAAUCUGUUUAGAUAUGUUUCUAAGGUUCUAAGACUUGAGGAAAAUGAAUUUACUAAAGGAGGUGUGAAAAUAUAUUGUCACAAAAGUGAUGUUUAUCACUUGUACAACUGUCCUUCAAAGGUGCUGCCCAAAUAGUUGUGUGCUGCCCAAAAUGAAUACAUAUACACCUAUAUAUAUAUCCUUCACCACCUUUUAAGUUAUAGAUAAUUCUAACUAGAAUUUUAUGUAAAUACCCCAAAAAAUCCCUUAAAUGACUGUCUCAAUUUAUGUCAAGCAAGUUUGCAAAUAUGACAAAAUUUCAACUUCCCAAAACGAGAAUAACAUAUAUUGUAGUAAUUAAGCAACGGUAAAUCAACAUGUGACUCUUGGUUAGUACUUCGGGGUGUUACACUCUCUUCCCCUAAAAGAAAUUUUGUCUCAAAAUUUACCUUACACUAGUCCUGAAACAUGUGCGGAUACUAGGUCCUCAUGUCUUCUUCUCUCUCCCAAGUUGCUUCUUUUACGGAAUGGUUCCUCCAAAGUACCUUUACUAAGUGGAUUUUGUUGUUUCUAAGUUGUUGUACUUCUCGAGCUUGAAUUAGGAUAGGUUCUUCAUUAUACGUCAAGUUAGGAUUAACCUCAAUAGAUUCAACUGGAAAGAUAUGAGAUGGAUCAGAACGAUAUCUUCUGAGCAUAGAACCAUGGAAGACAUUGUGGAUCUUGCCUAACUCAGGUGGUAAAGCUAAUUUAUAUGCAAUUAGUCCAACCUUUUCAAGUAUCUCAUAAGGUCCAAUAAAUCGGGGACUAAGUUUUCCUUUUUUGCCAAAUCUCAUAAUCUUUUUCCAUGGAGACACCCUUAAGAAUAGAUUAUCUCCAACAUGAUAUUCAAUGUCACGCCAUUUAAGCUCAGCGUACAAUUUUUGUCUAUCCGAAGAAAGUUUUAGACAAUCCUUGAUAAUUUUUACCUUGUCCUCUGUUUGUUGCACAAUUUUUAGGACCAACAAGCUUUCUUUCACCAACUUCACUCCAACAAAGAGGGGUCCGACAUUUUCUUCCGUAUAAGGCUUCCUAGUGAGGCAUUCCAAUAAUCGAUUGGUAAUUGUUAUUGUAAGCAAAUUCUAUCAAAGACAAGUGUUUUUCCCAACUACCCUCAAACUCCACAAUGCGAGCUCGAAGCAUAUCCUCCAAACUUUGUAUCAUUGUUUCCGACUGACCGUAUGUCUGAGGAUGGAACGAAGUGCUAAAUUUCAACUUAGUACCCAAACCUUCGUACAGGUUGCCCCAAAAUGUAGAUGUAAACAUUGGGUCUUGGUCAGAUAUAAUAGACACAGGGAUUCCAUGUAGUCUUACAAUCUCAUUAAUGUACAAUUCGGCUAAACGCUCAAGUGAGUAAUCCAUCCUGAUUGCUUAGAAGUGAGCACUCUUGGUUAGCCUGUCUAUAAUCAUCCAUAUUGCAUCAUGAUUUCUCUGAGUGCGAGGAAGUCCAGAAACAAAGUCCAUAGUAAUUCUCUCACAUUUCCAUUCCGGCAUCGACAAGGGAUGUAGCAAACCAACUGGGAGCUGGCGUUCUAUCUUUACUUGCUGACAAACCAAACAUUUUGAAAUGACUUCCGCAAUGUCUCUCUUUAUAUCGUUCCACCAAUAAUGUUCUUUGAUGGUAUGGUGUAUCUUUGUACCUCUAGGAUGCAUUGCAUUUGAUGAUGUAUGUGCUUCAUUCAUGAUUUCUCUUCUCAAUUUUUCAUUAUUAGGGACACAUAGCCUAUUUUGAUAAAAACAAGGUACCAUCCUCCGUUAAUACAAAAUCAAGCUUUUCCCCAUUUUGAACUUCUCUAGUCAAUUUUAUGAGUCUCUCAUCUAACCUUUGCGCUUCUUUCACCUGUUCAAGUAAUAUUGGUUUGACUUGCAAAUUAGCAAUAACCGAACCAUUUGAAUCAAGUUCAAAACAAACACUCAUGGCUCUUAACUCAAGAAGUAAGGGCAACAGACUCAAACCUAAGCUUGCGAAGGAUUUUUUUUUACUUAAGGCAUCAGCCACCACAUUGGCUUUACCUGGAUGAUAGUUAAUCGUGCAGUCACAAUCCUUGAUGAGUUCAGGCCAUCUACGUGUUCUUAGGUUCAGCUCCUUCUGUGUACCCAAGUACUUUAAGCUCUUGUAAUCAGUAAAUAUAUGAAAAUUUUCUCCAUACAAAUAAUGCUGCCAUAUUUUUAAAGCAAACACUAUAGCAGCAAGUUCAAGAUCAUGAGUAGGAUAAUUCAAUUCAUGUGGUUUUAAUUUUCGAAAAGCAUAAGAAAUAACUUUCCCUUCUUGCAUCAAAACACAUCACAGACCUCCAUGAGAAGCAUUACUAUAAAUUACAUACUAUUUCCCGUCAAUUGGUAGAGUAAGUAUAGGAGAUUGUGUCAACAAGGAUUUGAGAAUUUCAAAGCUCUCUUGGCAUUUGUCAUCCCAGGUAAACUUUACUUCCUUCUUCAAGAGUUUAGUCAAAGGGGAUACAAUAAUGGAGAAGCCUUUCACAAAUCUUCUAUAGUACCCUGCUAAGCCCAAGAAACUUCUUACCUCACUCGGAAUCUUGGGAGGUCUCCGUUCAACAACUACUUGAUUUUUUACUACGAUCAACCUUUACACCUUCUGUUGAUACAACAUGUCACAGAAAGCCACUUCAUUAAGCCAAAAUUCACACAUGGAAAUUUUAGCGUAAAGGUUUUUCUCCUUCAAAAUUUACAACACAAUCCGAAGGUGUUUAUCAUGGUCUAUUAGAAGAAGAGGCCAAAACUUAUUUCCUUCAAAAGGGAAGAUCACAUUGCCUUAGGGACAUGUAUUUGAUGCAUAUGCACUCUAGUUACGAUUAAAAUAUAAUAAGCCAUGUAAGUGAACAAAUAAUUUAAAUAGAACUUUUUCGAAAGCUAACAAAUAUACAAAUAAUUCACAACAAAAGUCCUAGAACCACAAACCUAGGGUCUAAUACCAAUACUUGUAACAACCCUCUCGGAAGGAUGCUACUACUUAACAAGAAAGCUAAUAUAAUACUUGCACAUUUAAAAGGGAUUAAUCUAAGAUAUAUAAAUUAUAAUUCAAUAGAGGAAUUUAGCCCAAAAUAACAAGUGAAAGGUAUAAAGGCUUGUCAUUUAGAAAUUUAGUUGAUCUCAAAUUUAAACAAGACAAGAGUCUCAAUUUAUAGCGGAAGAAUCUUUCAAAAUACUUUAAAAAAUACGCUAAGAGAUUUUCAUGUAUUAUCUAUACUAAUACAAGACACGUUAUAAAUCAUUACCAACUUCGAGGUACCAAAGCUUGAUUGGUUCAUGCUUCAUACAAACCUUCAAAAUAAAUUGUAAAUUUAAUACAUUACAAGACUUGGGUUUACACACCCCGAAAUAGUAAAACAUAUAGCCAUACUUAUUUUACAACCCCAUGGUGAUAUGAUCAAAUUAACCUUCAAAAUUUCAUGUAAAUGUACAACAUAUAGAUCAUGUACAAGUCCCAAUAUUUAUGCAACUAUAGAUGCCUAUAUGCAAAUGUGAUCUUCCCAUAAAGUUCUCAAAAACUAUGCCUCUAAUGGCCAGCUUCAAGUAUCCCCUCGAACGUUCCCUAUGAUAGAAACAACUAUUGCUAAGUUUAAAACUUAGUGGUAUAAAAAUUAUAUUCGUGGAGCCGCUAGAUUCACCAAGUUACCUUUCAAAAGUCAUGGACAUCACAAUUGAAACAUAAUAAAUAAAUCAAGUAAACAAUAUAAUAAGGGUAUCAAGUUCUAUAUUUAAAGAUCCAAGUGUCCAGAACACUCAUAGCACCAUUUCCCAAGAGAUCCAAUACCAAGGCUCGCCCAAUAUAUACAUCAUACCGUCACAACCAGCAUAACCAAGUAUCAAGAAGGACCGAAGCCCUGUAUAAAGAAGGAUCAAAGACCAAUAAUCAAGAGAAUCAAGAAAAAUAUUUAAAAUGGCUCCCGAGUUCAUACUUAAAAUGGACAACUUCUAUACUUAAGACGAACCAAAAAAUCAGAGUCAAGAUGGCAAAUAAUCCGAAUCAAUAGGCAUGCCAAUAGUGAUAAACUCACAGCCACAAGAGGGACAAAGUCCCAACAAGAAUGCCAAGUGAUCAAGCAAUUCGUACAAGUGGGCGAGUUACACAAGUGUCUUGAAAGUCUCAGAGAAUAUCAAUACGACAAUACAAUGUGACAAGAAGUAACCAAGGUAUCGAGAUAACCCUUCAAAUAUACAAGCAGAUAACAAGAGUACACGUACAAACUUAUACCCUAACCUCAGGUUUUAGCAUAGAAACAGUCCAACAAAACUUCAAGAAUUCAAACCGUAGCCCGACCAACGUAUCAAGGUUCUCCACUUGUACACGACUAUAUAUAACCUUAAAAAUACAAUUAAAUAACUUCUUUAACUUCUAUUAGCUCAAUAAUGUUGACGUAAAACAGGAUCAUCAUCACAAGUAAGCCUAGCAUGUACAAAUACAACUAUGCUCCCAGAACAGUGGAUCUGUCCAGCCUGGUACCUCAAGUCGCAACUUCAAUUUGUAAAGGAAAAACGCAAAACUAGACUUUAUAUCCUUCAUGAAAGAUGUAGGUACAUCUCUAAAUGUUCCAAAUGAACAAAAAUCACCGCAAAAAAUAUUAUUUACAAAAAUAUAUAUUCAAAAUACUAACAGUUGAUCAUGCAGGAUUUCAAAUUCCAAAAUCUGGCCAGAACCUGCCCUAUGUUACGUCCCAUAUUCAUAAUCCAUAACUGCUAAAUUAGAGUUUUACAUAAACAUAAGAGUUGUAGGUAUAUGAAUUAUUUUCCAAAUCAUUUUUAUUUACUUUAAACGAAGUUAUAGAGAACGAGAUAUGCAUAAAUUACCAAACACUACCCAACUCCGAAACAGAUUUCAUCACUUACCAAGAGAAGGGUGUGUCUCGAAUCCCAGCCAAAAAGCGCAAAGUUUUCCUCUUGUGAUUUUGAAGAACAAUCUGUUUAAAUAUGUUUCUAAGGAUCUAAGACUUGAGGAAAACGAAUUUGCUAAAGGAGGUGUGAAAAUAUAUUGUCACAAAAGUGAUGUUUAUUACUUGUACAUCUGUCCUUCAAAGGUGCUGCCCAAAUAGUUGUGUGCUGCCCAAAAUGCAUACAUGUACACCUCUAUAUAUAUCCUUCACCUCCUUUUAAGUUAUAGAUAAUUCCAACUAGAAUAGUUACGUAAAUAACCCCCAAAACAAUUCCUUAAAUGACUGUCUCAAUUUAUGUUAAGCAAGUUUGCAAAUAUGACUAAAUUUCAAGUUCCCAAAACGAGAAUAAAAUAUAUCGUAGUAAUUAAGCAACGGUAAAUCAACAUGCGACUCUUGUUUAGUACUUCGUGGUGUUACACCACAUUCAACUCAAACGUUUGCAAUACGUACAAUAAGCAGUGACAAUACACAAUUCCAAACGGUAACAACAAUGUCUAUGCACACGACAUCUGCUACAAAUCAAUAAUUCAAGCAUUUCCAACGUUCACAGAGGACACGACAUCUUCACAGCAGUAAUGCUCACAAGUGUUCAUUAAUCACACAACCUGAAUACAACAACGACAGUCACAUCAGAACACAAGGCAUGAGACACAAUUCUAGUCACGUACAAUAAUAUGUCGUCGUCCUCCUUUGGCUCGAUAACUUGCACAACCGUACGGUUGUAAAACAGAUGUAGCCACGUCCCUCGUCCUUGCUCACGAGAGAAUUCACCACGUCGAUCUUCAAGGGUGCUUGAAUCAAUCAAAGUCGUCCACCUCUCCUUCUCUACAUUCUGAUUUGGUGAGGUUUGGAAUCAAUUGGGUUAUUCUUGUCCUUGAAAGAGGAAUUCCAAAUUUCAUCCUUAUCCAAUUCUUUCAUUUGUUUCCCACCCUCAAUUCGACAUAAUAUUUCCUCUAUAUAAAGCCAUCUUCUCUUUAUUAUUUAAGGUUACCCACAAUUUACCUACAAAGAGAAUGACUCACAAAAAGGUUUGGAAACAGAAAUAGAUAUUGAAGUAUAUAAGAAAUACACUCAAAACAUAGAGGAGAACUAGUUCGAGUCUUAGUUGCACUCUUUUGUUCCGUUCAUCAGAAUUCCGAGUUCAUCGGAAUUCUCGGCUCAUAGGUGGUGGAAUCACUUCGUCGUUGAUAAGUUCAUCAUUGUCCAAGAACCCUGCUUCAAGAAAGGUAACCUCCUCCUUCCAUAAUAUUCUCUCUUUCAUCUCUUACUCUCUCUUCUUAUUUUCUCUUUUAGAAUCAUGUGUGUUGUUUUGUUACUGUCUGAAAUAGUUUGUUAUGCCUUAAUAUAGUUUGAAUAUUUCAAUAUGUUGCAUUUUCUAUUUGUUUUAGGUGAUUUUUGUGGGUUUCAAAAUGGUGUUAAACUUUGAUUUUCUCGUGAAUGUGUUAUUUUGAGUUGACUAAUUUGUUUUUGGGAAAAAGGACAAAUAUACCCCCGAACUUUGAAAAAUGGUACGUCUAUACCCUCCGUUACACUUUUCGUUCAUCUCAGCCCUUGCCGUCCAAUAAUCGGUGCACACUUUCCCCUCCCACUAACGGUACCCUCUUUGUGUACAUGCGGCUAAAUCCUAAACAACUACCCGAUUGACCAUUUCUCUUAACCCUAAUCCUAAGAACUCACGAGUCAACAAAUUGGACUCAUUUGGGGCUAUGUUUUAAUAGGUUUAGUGUCCUCAAAUGCAAGUUUGGUCUCAAAAACUGAUAAAAUACCUUAAGUUUCAGGUAUCUAGACUUGUAGACAAAGGUAUGGACACAAUUGAGCAAAAAGAAACAAAGGAAGCUGAAAGGACGGAGAAAUAAAUAUCUGCGGAUCGCCGAAACCAUUCGGCAUGUCGCCAAAUGAUCUCACCUCGCCUUUUGUUCCAGUGUGUUGAGCCCUGAAAGAAAGGAUCAAAUCGGCGGUGAAAAGGAGCAGUCAACGUGUCGCCGAGUAGUUCCGCGAAGCAGUACUAUGUCGCCCAAUGAUCCAAAACACGACAAUGCUGAAGGAUAGAGGAAGACGAUGAUGAAACCUACCAAAGGGCAGAUCGUCGAGUUGAUCGAUGAUCUCGACUAAUGACGCCGAUUGAUCCGCUGCAACACACAUUUUUGAAAAUUAUAAAUACUCGUUGAGAGUUGUAGCUUAAUAUCAGAUUUUUAAUAUAGAAUUUUUAACAUAGAAUUUUGAGAUCUAAGUUUGGAGUGGGUUUUGAAGAACUUGAAAAUUCAAAGGGUUUCAACUCCAAGAAUUUGGACUUGGGUCUUGUAUAUUCUUCACUCUUUGCUUGUUUUGAGACAUAAAUCUUCAUACCCAUUUGAAUGCAAACUCAUAUUGGUAGAAAUUUCUAUCUCUUUUACAUGUGUAGCUAAAACCCUAAUUCUUGGGGUGUGAUUUUGUCAAUAUGGGUUAGAUUAUCUGUUGGGUCUUGCUUGCUGAUGGUUUAUUUGUUGUUGAGAUAUGAUUUCAUUUUGUAGUUGUGGUGGAACUUAAUUAUAUUGUAGUUGCAAAUACAAUUUCACCUUUGUGUUUUUGGCUUGCUCGAGAGAGAGGUCGUAAAACUAAGACUACUAAAUAGAUAGUCGGUGGGAGUGGUUCGACAUGAAGUUCAGCUCGAGAGAGUGAACCCUAGUCCUUCUCCCACACACUCAGCUCGAGAGAGUGAGUGGGCUAACGCAGAGGCUGUUCUUCAUAUGGCAAGUAGGUGUCCGAGAGGAACACAUUUGAUUAAGGUUAAGUUGCUCGAGAGAGAAUUUACCCCCACUAUAGUCUAGCCUAGUCACAAAUACUCAAUGGAUUUACUAUCAAAAGCAUGUACCCAAUAGUCUAGUCUAUCCCGUAUUCCUAUCACAUCCCAAGAAUCUCGUCUCCAUAUUCGUAUCUCUCCUUAUUUUUGUUGUUUUUGCUUACUUGUUACAAACCCCCAUUAAUAAUUGACGCUUGCGUCACCCUUUAGAUUUAACAUGUUUAUAUUCGAUAAUGUUUUUAGCUAUGACUAAAUAGAACUUAAUUUUAUUCUUCUAUUAAUUCUCAAGCCCACUCCCUUGGGACUCGACCCCAACCCUUGGUUGGGUUACUUACUAUUGUACAAUCAUAGACAUUUGCAUUGAAAGUUGUGUCUUGAUUACGCAAACAUCGAAAUGGCGCCACUGCCGGGGAAGGGUGUUAUUUGAGAAUUCUUAGUCGGUAAAAUUUUUGUUCUUCUUAAUCAUAGUGAUACUUGAUUGAUUUUUAGUUUUGUUUUUCGUUGUGUUGCUGUUUUCAGUAGGAACCAAGAUUAUGUCUAGUAGCAAUGGUGAACAACUAGAUCACUCUCAUUUAAGGAUGGUGUCUCUCAGGGAUAUAAACCUGAGUUUUAGACAAGUCGAAGGAGAGUCCAUCCAUGAAUUGUGGUUGAGAUUCAAGGUACUCUUCCAGAAAUGCCCAGAUCAUGGAAUCUCAUAAAGUGUGCUGCUGGAUUGCUUCUACAAAAGUCUUGGCCCGGAGAAUAAAAUAAUGGUGGACCAAAUAUUUCCUGAGGGAAUCUCACGACUACCCUUUGCAGUAGCCACCCAACUCCUUGAUCACACGGCACUGACUAACAAUAAGGCUGAGAAAGACCAUACUCUGGCCAUACUGUUGACUCAAUUAGAUUUAGUGACCAAGAAGAUUAUGGAAUUGGAAGCACCGGAUAAAAGAAAAGAUCGGUAUGUUUCACCUCACGGGCGUAUGAAAUACAAUUCAAGUGAGGACGGACAAUUAAUGGAGUUACUCUCACUCAUUCUCAGCAAAGUCGAAGGUCACGUCAAGAUGUUAAACGAGAUAAAGGAGAAUGUCAUACUACUAAAUGAUACAUCUGCCUCCCAAUUCAUAUAUGUCCAGCGAUUGGUGACUCAAAUAGGUCAUGUGAUGUCCCAUCUCUUCCUCAUAAAUCAAAACUGAGCGGAGAAGUCGUGCCACGACUAUAACUAAGGCGCUUCUUGGGAGGCAACCCAUGGCUUUAAUUAUUUUCUCCUAAGAUUAAAAUAAUGGUGUGUUGAUUUUGUAGGAUGAAGUGUGGAAAUCAUUUGGAAAUAAAGAGAAUGUCAAGGGAAAUGAUCAAUUGGAGAAUCGCCAAAGUAUUCAGUGAACCGACUUAUACCGCCGUUUGAUCAAACCCAGUUUGGGUUUCAGUUCUGUAAAACUCGGCGAGUACGAAAAAUUAUUGGCGAUUCACCGACUUGAUCCAUGAUCCCGAUCUCAUCCGCCGUUUGGAAUCCCUCCAUAACUGCAGGUCCUGUAAACUUGGCGAAACAUAUGACCACGUGGCUAGUCGCCGAAUAGAUUGGCGAGUGCAACUAAUGUCGCCGAAUGGACAAGAAACCGGAUGGUCUAUCCAGCCAAAUGUUUAAGAAUUUCAACUCCCUUUACUUUCCCUCAUUUUCAAAGUUUGCAAACUUGCAUCUAGCUCGUAUUUUAAACAUUUUUACACUUUUAGAGUAUUUUAGUUGUUGAUUUGUGCUCGGAACUUGGAUUACAUUGUCGCCUAGCAUUUCAAUAUUCUCGUAGUCAACACCAAAGGUUGGUUUCCUAUGCCUCGAGUUCAUCUCAUCGAAAAUUGUGCUUAUUUGCAAUGGAUUUUAUUGAGUUGUUGUGUGAUGGGCCUCUCUGAUAAGCUUAGAUUGUUUACAUGCAUGAUUUAAUUUGAUAAUAUUGCCCGAGUAGUUGUGACUGUUGAAUUCUCGUAAUUGUAUGCCUUAAAAGGGAUUAAAAUUCAAAAGGUUGUGCUUGGUUUCUAUGGGUCCUACCUUAAUUGUACUAGUGCAUGCUUUGAUUUUGUUUUCGGGGGUUACGGGGUUGCAUUCGAGAAGUUAGGUUGAAAAUAGGCACGUUGAGCCGUUUGGCGAGCUAGGUUGAGCUCGCCGAACCACUUGGCGUUUCUUCUAAUAUCCCCAUCUCACCCUUAAAUUUUACGCUCUAUGUGUUGAUGGGUUCUGUAACUUUUGGUGAGAAGUUGAAGGUCGCCAAUGAACCUCAGCGACUCGCCGAAAGUCUUUUUUUUUUAUCCUUGUCAACUCCCAUGGAUCAUUGUACACCAUAGCUUUUAGCGGACUAACCAUAGAUCGCCGAAUGAUAUCGGUGACUCGCUGAAAGAGUCGGCAAAGCUUACCAGCAACUGAUCUCCCGUGCUUUUGUCACACGUUUCUCUAACUUCUCUUUGAGAUUUUACAGACAUAACUAAAUCUAAAGCUGCCGAAAGAAUAACGUCAGCUCUGGAGAAGCCCAAAGGGAUUGCGAUAAAGGAGGAUGCAAUUCCGUCGAAAGUAAAAGCUUCGAAACUACCCACAAUUACUAGGAAAGCCAGGGGUAAGAAGCCCACUUCUGCUAGGAAAACCAUUACCCUGGACCUUAAUAUUCCUUCAUGGGCCAGAGUAUUUUGCAAAGCGGUACAUGUCUUUCUAGAAAACUCACACUAAACAGACCGUGGUGAAUCUGGCACUGUUGUUGAUGCAAUACAGAUUGCCCCCAAACCAUUCAUUCAUGAAUUUCAACAUAUUGAUGGAUCAUUCUCAAGGAUGGAGGUUCGUGGGCUUGGGAAAUGCGCUCUAAAGGAGCCCCUAGCUGAGCAACACACUGUGUGGAUGAUAGCUUGGAGUGUGGGAGGUCCAACGAGGAAAGUUGGAGCAAAGGAAAGUGUUGCUCCAUUCGGCGAGGUGCCAACCACUUUGGUGAGGGUUCCAGGAUCGCCGACUGAUCCAAUGAGUUGUAGAGAAAAGUUGCCCAUUUGGCGAACAUGGAGGGAAUUCGGUGCAACAUCCAUUGAACCCCAAACCGCCAAAAGUUACAGCAAACCAUCCAAGGAGAAGCCAAUGAUCAGGGUUUCUCGCCGAACCCAUUUGGUAGAUCGCCGAGCCAUUUGGCGAGCCCGACUUUGCUCACCCAUUUUUGGGUCAUUUUUGGGCCUAUCUAUGUAAUAAUGUUUUAACACUAUAAAUAGGCCUUUAGGAUUUCAUUUUAGACUUAUACUUGUUUGAAUAUUGAUGAAUGAUAAAUUUAACUCCUUAUGUGAGUGUUGAAAGCUUGGUAAGCUUUUGUUGCACAUUGUUUAGAAACGAGGGUUGCUCGGAAUAUCGAUUCCCUCGAGGUCUUCGUAAGAAUUAGGUGCUUCUUGUUGGAUUAACCAAGUGAGGUCUUUGGGUUUAACUUUCCCAUAUGUUGCUCUUUGUUUCCUCUUGUUGUGUCUAUCUAUUUAUCCGGAUUAGGUGCUUGCUAGGAUCUAGAUUGGAGGUUAUUGGAUUUAAUACAUUCUUUAGUUGCCAAUUGUUUCUUAUCUUGCGACUCUUCUUCUAUCUUUCUUGUUUUCCACAUAUUAUCGAGAUUUUUCUUGUGAGAAUCAUAUCAUUCGGUAUCAGAUUCGAGCUUAGUAUCGUUCCUACGAUUCUAGUCUUCGGUUUGUUGCUACAAAAAGAAUUGUUCAAAACGUUUUUGUGCAAAUUCCUGAAAUGGGUUUGUUGAUUUGUGUCUUGUUUGAAGUUUCCAAGGUUGUAUUCGUGUUCCCUAACCUUAUUUGAGUUUAGAUAUGAAAUUUGGUGAAGUUUGGUUCAUUGUUGAAGUUUCCACCAUUAUUGGUUGAAGAAGCUUUGAAGAAGACGAAGUGGGUUUUGAAAUCUGGAAGUUUUGGCAAGGAAUUGAAUGCUAAAAAGUAUUGGGGUUUGUUCCCUAUAUCAAGGAGAACAUUCACCUAAAGUUUCAUGAAAUUCCGAGCUAAAAAUUCUUUGGGGUUUUAUUUUGGGUCUUCAUAGCGUUCUUGAAGUUCUUGAAGAAUAUUCAAAUCUUCAAGAAGGAAAUAUUUGAAAAGGGAAGUGUUUGAUUCCAAAAAGGAAGAAAGAGAAAGUGCUAAAGUGUUUGUAAAAAGAGUAUUUACCAAAAAGGGUAAAUACUAAAAGCCAAGGAAGAGGGGGGGACCACCAAGGUUCAAUUUUCGGAGUCUAGCAAGUUCAGCUUGAAGAAUUUGGGCGAAUCCCGACUUGGAUCGCCCAUUCAACUCGGCGCCUCGCCCUUUGGGCAGCUAGAUCGCCAAGUUGGACCUCACUUUGGUGAAGACACUGGAAAUUUUGGCGAGCUAAGCCCUGGUCGCCGAAUCCAUUCGGCGCAUCGCCGAACUUUCACCUAGAUCACCGAGUUGCCUUGUCCGUUUGGCAAGUUUGGCGAGUCAAUCUUCAAGUUGGCGAGCUGAACUUCAUGUUAGGCGAAGAAAACAGUGCAUUUGGCGAUCGAAAGCUCAUGUUAUGACCCUUUCUUCUCGGGUUCUAAUUUCUAGUUUCUUUCUUCUGAUUCUCAUUCGUUGUCAAGAAUCCUUAACUGAUUUUCAGCUCGUAACUACUCUACUUGUUGACUAUUGGUUCUUGAAUUCACUUCUUUGCUAGUGCUUUCCUUUUCGUGUUUUUUUCGUUUUACUUCGUACUUAAUUCUUGACUCAAGUUCGUUUGCUUUAAUUGAGUCAUCCGUGCUUUUUGAAAUAAAAAUCUAUUCGGACCAAGAGUAGAAUCAAAACCUUGUGAUCAACUGAGUAUAAGCAAUCUUCAACAUUAGCCGCGUCAAUAUGAGAGGCAAUCAAAGGUUUGUAAACAUGAGUGAUUGUCAGUUAAUAUUUAAUGUUAACGUUGUUAGUUGUUUUGUGAGUUGUCACUUUGUAGGUACACAGAGUUAUAAGGCAACAUGUCCCCAAUUGCCUCAGACCCAGGUUACUAUGAUAUGGGAUGCAUCAAGGGUCUCAGUACCAAAAGGAUUGAUUUUCCUAUCUUUGAAGGAAGACAUGAUCCCGAGGCAUAUCUUGAUUGGGAGUGGCAGUGUGAGCAGAUUUUCCAACACCAUGAUUUGAGAGGACCAGAGUGACCCUUGUAUGCCCUCUCUCAUUUGAAGGAUCUUGCAUUGGGUUGGUGGACUCAAGAGGAAAGGCUCUGCGCACUCCAAGGAAAUACCCACCCAUUGACAUGGGAAGAAUUGAAGAGGCUGAUGAGGUUCAAGUAUGUGCCAAAAGGGUACAUCAAGCUUUUUAAUGUUGAUCUAAGAAGACCAGUUCUUAGGACAAAGGUUGGCAUUUGUGGGGAUUUGGGACUUGACCUUGUCCUCGAUUAUGGGUAUAAUCUGAACUAUAUCACUCCAGAGGUGGUAGCCUAUUUGGGACUACCUCGACUACAAAGGACUUAUCCAUACACCAUGGAGGGAUGUAAGGUUAUCGAAGGAGCAAGAGUCUCUUUCACACGCGGCAAAUACUAUAAGGAUGUUUGGUGUGAUAUAAUGCCCAUGGCUUCUUGUCACAUAAGUUUGGGAGCCAAUUGGUUUACUGAACAUAGAGUCCCAAACAAGCAGAAUGGGUACAAGUGUGGUGUGAAUCAUUGGGGAACACCUUUAUUUCCUCUUUCUAAAGUGAAAACUGAGAGACAAAAUAUUAAGAGGAGUAAGGGAAAACAAAGGUGGCAACCUUAGAGUGGAAAAAAGCGAGGUUGAGAGGAGUGAAGUGAGAGGGUUGCCACAAUCUCAAUCUAACAUUUAUGGUCAUCCUUCACUUGGUAAGGAUUCUUAUGUAGGUACAAGCGUAAUGAAUGGAGGAACACAAGUUCCAGCCAAAGAGCCUUCAGUCGAAGGUGUGAUGGAUGCACUAAUGGAAUGUUCCAACAUCCAAGGUAAAGAAGAUCUUUCUUGCGGGCGUCAAGGUACAAUAGCUAAUCUCAAGAGUUUUACCAUUGCAAAUGAACAAAAUGUGAAUGUUAGCUAGUCUUUAUGUGAGCCUAUUGAUUCUUUACCAUGUGUUGAUAAUGUGCUUGUUGAGAAUGUGGAUGCACUAGUUGAUCCUAUUGAUGACCGAAUUGAUUCUUCUAGUAAGAUCGAUUUGUGUCCACUUAGUGUUGACACCUAUGCUUUUAAUGCUAUCUCAUUAUUUUGUAUUGAUUGUGUUGAUCAACGUGUUUGUAAGUGUAGUUCACUGGUUGAGGGUCCUUGUAAUGUGAUUAAGGAACCUCAAGUUGAUGGCACUAAUGAGAAUGUUGAUCAUGUGAUUAGGAGUGACUCUUUGAGCAUAUCUAUUGUGGAUUAUCCAAUUGCUUGCUUUGCUCAUAGAGAUCAUGUGCUUGAAAAUGCUUCAAAAACUAAUAUAUGUCUUUUUGAGGGUGAACUUGCAUGUUUUAACUCGUCCCUAGUGGUGGAUCAUUCCCUCUUUAAGUACAAUAUCCAAUUUGAAGAUGAUGAAAUCACUCCUAGUGAUGUACCUAGUGGUGUGAAUCUUGAGAGCAGUAUAGUUCUUGAUAGCUAUACUUGUGGUAGUAACCCGCUAUGGUGUGAGGCUUUCCCUCCCAAAGAUGGAAAUCUCUUCUUGGAAGAUAAGAGUACUUUUGUAGGGAAGGAAUGUGAUGAGGAGGAAGGUGGUGUUGGUUUUCCUAUUUGGUAGUCCUAAACAUGAAAACACCCUAGAGGAGGUUGAUUUGUGAGACACCUUUCUCUAUUACUUGUUUACAUAUGAUGAUGCGCAUGUUGUUGAGUGGAGUAUGUUGUUGGAAGGAAAGAGUGUCAACCGGAUAAAUGGAUGCACUUGAUCCUAGUAUAUGGCUUGCCUUUCCAUUUGAUCCCAGUAGUGAGCUGAAUUGUAGCCUUUGUGUGGGAAUGUUUGGUUGAAAUGGCAGGCCAAUGGUGGUUGAAAUUGUUAAUUCCUUUCCCUAUUAAGGAAAGCCCUUCUUGAGGUUUUACCAUCCACUUGAAGAGCCUACAUUGUGUGUAGGGAAGAAUAGCUUCCUAGACCCCUUUUCUAUUUGUUACCCUAAGCAUGAUUUUGUUGAAUGUGCAUCUCAUGGGGGUAGGAGAUAUUUGCCAAGAAAAGGUGAAGUUUGUACCUUCCUUUACUAUCUCUUUGCAUAUGAUGAAAUCCCUAGUUGGAUUAAAUGUGCAUUGCAUGUGGAUCAGGGAGUCAUUGUGUUCUACAUUUGUUGGUAGUAUCCAGUUCUGUGGACAUCUAAUUAUUUUGAUCCCGGUGAAUGCAUGAAGGUAUUUGAACUGGUGGGAGUAUCAUCUUUUGGGUGGUACUACCAUGUUGUUGAGAAGAAUAACCAUUGUCCUUGUUCUCCAUUUAUGGGCUUAAUAGCCAUGACAAGGAUGUUUGGUUGUUCCUUGAGUUUGAGUCUCCUCGGUUAAAUGUUUUAAGUACUAACCUUUGUACUACCCAUCAUGCUAAGACGAUAAGCUUCUUGCUUAUGAUCUAUAUGGUUUUACAAGGUUUGGAUUCGAGGACUCACUUUUAUCUACUUGCAUAUGAUGAUACUCAUACUUGUAUGGGUUGCAUAUCUUAUGUUAGUAGUAGUUUAAAUUGAGCAAAUGAGAGUCUCCUUGACUCGAUGCUAUACGAUCCUUUUCCAUUUGACCCAGUGCCGUUCUUAAGUGUGCUGGAUGUGGUAGUAACACCUUCUGUCAUUUGCAUGAUUCCUUCGUGGUGUUAUUAUUUGAUCCAAUGUACUUGAAUGAGGUAUGUUUACCAAUUUGGGUGGGGAAUAUUUAUGUACUUGAACCUACUCAUGAAUUGGGAAUGAUUACUCAAUUGAAGUUAUCUAGUGCAUCGGAUGGGAUGUUAACUUGGGUCAACACUACUUAUUCCUUCACACUUAGGUAUGAGAGUGUUCUUUUGCUGCUUGACAUAAGGGAGGCCUUGUACUUAUUUGGAUGUGGAACCAAUGAGGGAUUACAUAUGAAGUUGUUUAAGUGUAUUGGUUCCUUCACUCUACCCCUUUGUCAAUGUUUCUUACUUAGCCAAGUAUCUAUUGCUUUGAUGGGUUACAAACCGUUGGUUGAUAUUUUUUAUGCUUGGUUAUAUGUUAAAUUUGUGCAUCAUUGGCAUGGCGAUGAAAUUGUUAUUGCUAACGCUAACCCUCAUGCCAUGAGGAUCUUUGUACUGUUUGCUUCCCUUAUGGUUUUGCAAGGUAUGGAUUCGAGGAUGAAUCCUUUUCAAGAAGGGGAGAAUGAUGCAAUACAGAUUGCCCCCAAACCAUUCAUUCACGAAUUUCAACGUAUUGAUGGAUCGUUCUCAAGGAUGGACGUUUGUGGGCUUCAGAAAUCCUCUUUAAAGGAGCUUCCAGCUGAACAACACCUUGUGUGGAUGAUAUCUUGAAGCAUGGGAGGUCCAACAAAGCAAGUUGGAUCAAAGGAAAGUAUUUCUCCAUUCGGCGAGGUGCCAGCCACUUUGGCGAUUCACCGAACCUCUUUGGUGAGGGUUCUAGGAUCGCCGACUGAUCCAAUGAGCUGCAGAGAAAAGCUACCCAUUUGGCGAGCAUAGAGGGCAUUCGGCGCAUCACCCUUGGAACCCCAGACCGCCAAAAGUUAUAGCAAGCCAUCCAAGGAGAAGCCAAUGAGCAGGGUUUCUCGCCGAACCCAUUUGGUAGAUCAUCGAACCAUUUGGCGAGCCCGACUUGACUUGCCCAGUAGCCCAUUUUUGGGUCACUUUUGGGCCCAUCUAUGUAAUAAUGUCUAACACUAUAAAUAGGCCUUUACGGUUUCAUUUUAUACUUAGACUUGUUUGAAUAUUGAUGAAUGAUAAAUUUAACUCCUUGUGUGAGUGUUGAAAGCUUGGUAAGCUUUUGUUGAACAUUGUUUAGAAAUGAGGGUUGCUCAGGAUAUCGAUUCCCUUGAGGUCUUGGUAAGAGUUAGGUGCUUCUUGUUGGAUUAACGAAGUUAGUUCUUUGGGUUUAACAUACCCAUAGGUUGCUCUUUGUUUCCUCUUGUUGUGUCUAUCUAUUUAUCCGGAUUAGGUGCUUGUUAGGAUCUAGAUUGGAGGUUAUUGGAUUUAAUACAUCCUUUAGUUGCCAAUUGUUUCUUAUCUUGUGUCUCAUUUUCUAUCUUUCUUGUUUUUUGCAUAUUAUCAAGAUUCUUCUUGUGAUAAUCGUAUCAUUCUGUUCCCCCUGCGGUGACCUCGGGCACUGAUGCCCAGACAGACGGAGCGACUGUGUAGACAGGAUCCCCUCUUUACCCCUCUCUCUGUCUUUCUUUAUUUUAAAUUCUGGGUAUAAUCUUAUUUGCACUUGGGGACAAAUGCUUUUAAUUGGGGUGGGGUUAGGCCCACUUUUGUGUUCUUCUCGUAUUCGUGUUUUAUCGGUAUAUUUUGUAUUGUUCUGUUUAAAAUUGCGGAAAUAUUGCGGUUUUGUGGAUGUUUGAGCUUAUGGCUCCUUUUUGUUUUAAUUGAAAAAUGAUUUUGACCCGUCCGAAAAUUUUUGCCACCUCUCCUGUGUUGAAUGUGGCUGUUCCUUGGCAAAUUUGAGUCUCGGUUUCGAUCAAUACCGAUGACUGGAAUAGUGCUUGCAAUUAAACAAACAUGAAUGUACGACUACGAUGAGGCCAAAUGAAGUUGCAUAGACAAUAUGUGAACUCUUUGCACCUCGUUGUGACUAGCCUAUUAUCGAAUCGAGUCUCUUUUGAUAGUCAUUGCCCACUAGCAAAAGUGUGGAGUCUUGUUUGACUUAUAGUGUCAAUGCCUUGUGUGAUGAGCUUACCUUGAACCAUGCAUGAUGGAUCUUAGAAUUUUCCCCAUUAGUUCGGUUGACUAAGUAAGGCUUUCUGUUGACAUGAUCUUAGGCAACUUCUAAAAGUGUGAGCCAAUUUGACAUAUACCUCUUUUGUGGCCUACCUUGUAAGUGUUUGUGAACCUCUUUUGAACACCCAUUGAGCCUCUCCCUUUCUUUGGAAGAAACUUGAUGAAAACAAUGAACUUUUUUCAUCCAUCACCCAUAUUCCUCUUGAAGUUGUGGUUAGUUGAAUAGCCAACUUAGGCCAAAAGCCUAAGUUGCGGGUGUGCUGAAAAGACAAGGGCAAGUCAAGAAGUGCAAGGAAAGUCUCCUUUUAUUGUGAACCUCUUUUGAACACCCAUUGAGCCUCUCCCUUUCUUUGGAAGAAACUUGAUGAAAACAAUGAACUUUUUUCAUCCAUCACCCAUAUUCCUCUUGAAGUUGUGGUUAGUUGAAUAGCCAACUUAGGCCAAAAGCCUAAGUUGCGGGUGUGCUGAAAAGACAAGGGCAAGUCAAGAAGUGCAAGGAAAGUCUCCUUUUACCCAUAGUUUUGAGAAAAAUGGAACCCCUCCAUAUAAAAAAAAGCGAGAAAAGAAAGAAAAAGAAAGUUGUGGAAUAAAGUACAAAAGAAAUGGGGUUCCCAAACAAUCCAUGGGAAGUGAAUAAUAAGAUGACUUAUAAGCACUAAAAAAAAUGCUGAAGGAAGAGGAAAGGAAGUGUUGUGAGCACCACAUUUCAUGAGGAUGAAAGUCACUGAGCCUAAAUGACCAUACCUUUGCACUCCGCCCCAUUACAAGCCUUGAAAGACCUUAGUGAUCUUGAGUGAGCUGAAACGAAAGCUGAUUGGAAAAUACGGGCAAGCCUAUGGGUGAAAGCAUACAUUGUGUUCCUCUUUUUAAGUGUGAGCGUUGCAUAUGAUUUUGGAACUUUUAAAUGAUUAACUCAUUAUGUGUGAAAAUGGAAUCAUUCUUUGUGUGAGGGCAUUUGAACACUAUUGUUGAGCUUGAACUGACCUUUGAAGCAAGUAUUGUGAACAUGAGAUUCUUUGAUAGUGGUGAGUCACAACUUGAAUCUUUGAGUGCAUAGUGGAUCUUUGCAUAAGUAAAUUGAGUCUUGUUGUGUGCAUUCAUGAUGGAAUCUUGUGUAGCACUGUUUGAGACAUCCUUUUCAAACUGUUGAACUUGAGUUUUACUUGAGGACAAACAAAAGUUUAAGUUGGGGGUGUUGAUGAGUCCACAAAUUGGACUCAUUUGGGGCUAUGUUUUAAUAGGUUUAUUGUCCUCAAAUGAAUGUUUGGUCUCAAAAACUGAUAGAAUACCUUAAGUUUCAGUUAUUUAGACUUGAAGACAAAAGCAUGGAUACAAUUGAGAAAAAAAGGAACAAAGGAUAGAGCGAAGACGGCGAUGAAAUCUACCAAAGGGUGGAUCCCCGAGUUGAUCGGCGAUCUAGACUAAUGACGACGAAUGAUCCGCUGCAGCAUAGAUUUUUGAAAACUAUAAAUACUCGUUGAGAGUUGUAGCUUAAUAUCAGAUUUUUAAUAUAAAAUUUUGAGUGCUAAGUUUGCAGAGGGUCUUGAAGAACAUGAAGAUUCGAAGGGUAUCAACUCCAAGAAUUUGGACAUGGGUCUUGUGGAUUGUUUACACUUUGCUUGUUUUGAGACUGAAAUCUUCAUACCCAUUUGAAUACAAACUCAUAAUGGUAUAAAUUUCUAUCUCUUUUACAUGUGUAGCUAAAACCCCAAUUCUUGGGGUGUGAUUUUGUGAAUAUGGGUUAUAUUAUAUGUUGGGUCUUGCUUGCUGAUGGCUUAUUUGUUGUUUAGAUGUGAUUUCAUUUAGUAGUUGUGGUGGAACUUAAUGAAAUUGUAGUUGCAAAUACGAUUUCACCUUUGUGUUUUUGGCUUGCUCGAGAGAGAGGUCGUAAGACUAAGACUACUAAAUUGAUGGCCGAUGGGAGUGGGUCAACAUGAAGUUCAGCUCGAGAGAGUGAACCCUAGUCCUUCUCCCACACACUCAGCUCGAGAGAGUGAGUGGGCUAAGGCAGAGGCUGUUCUUCAUGCGGCAAGUGGGUGUCCUAGAGGAACCUAUUUGAUUCGGGGUAAGUUGCUCGAGAGAGAAUUUACCCCCACUAUAGUCUAGCCUAGUCACAAAUACUCAACGGAUUUACUAUCAAAAGCAUGUACCCAAUAGUCUAAUCUAGCCCGUAUUCCCAUCACAUCCCAAGAAUCCUGUCUCCAUAUUCGUAUCUCUCCUUAUUUUUGCUGUUUUUGCUUACUUGUCACAAACUCCCAUUGAUAAUUGACGCUUGCGUCACCCUUUAGAUUUAACAUAUUUAUAUUCGAUAAUGCUUUUAGCUAUGACUAAUCAGAACUUAAUUUUAUUCUUCUAUUAAUUCUCAAGCCCACUUUCUUGGCACUUGACCCCAACCCUUGGUUGGGUUACUUUACUAUUGUACGAUCAUAGACACUUGCAUUGGAAGUUGUUUCUUGAUUACGCAAACAUCAAGAACCCGCCCCAUAACCCAAUAAACCCACCCGAUUUGUGGGUGAAACAUACUCUCUAAAAUCUAAAGAAAAGACUCAAAUCCUCAAUAUAAAUCUAAGAAACAAAAAUCAAUAUUUCCUCAAUCAACCCAACUCAUCAAACAUAAAAAGUGAAUGAUCAAAAGAAGAAAUUUCAUUUUUUUUUUAUAAAAAAUGGUGUUUAGUAGUUCAAUAAUUGUUGGUGUGGUUAAUGUAUCUGCAGAUUUGUGUCAAUACAUAGCUUGUAAUUCAGAAAGACUCAGCAGUGAUGAAGUUAUUUAUCUUCUUUUUUUUCGUUUUCCAUGUCAACAAUUUAGGAGAUUUGCUCUUUGUUUAUGGAAUUUUUUUUGCUUACCUUUACCAAACCAUUAUCUAUCUUUUUCUUCUUUUUCAUCAUCUUCUUCUUCUUCUUUGUCUUCAGAUUCUGAUUUUUUUGAUGGGUUGGGUUGAUUGAGGAAAUAUUGAUUUUUGUUUCUUGGAUUUAGAUUGAGGAUUUGGGUCUUUUAUUUAGAUUUUAGAGAGCAUAUUUUAUCCACAAAUUGGGUGGGUUUAUUGGGUUAUGGGGCGGGUUCAUAGGAUUUAGGGUAAAAGAAAUGGUCAAUCGGGUAGUGGCUUAGGAUUUAGCCACGUGUACACAAAAAGGGUGUCGUUAGUGGGAGGGGAAAAUGCGCAUCGAAUAUUGGACGGCAGAGGGUGAGAUGUACGAAAAGUAUAACAGAGGGUAUAAGCAUACCUGUUUUCAAAGUUCGGGGGUAUAUUUGUCUUUUUUCCUUUAAAAAAAAACUUAAAGUAUAUAUUCGCAUCAUGCUAUUUUUGGUAAAUCUUUAUUAUUCAGGUAUUAUUUGUUCACUGUGAAUAAUGAUGUUAUCUGUUGGCAUCUUGUACUUAGCAUGAAUCGAAAGUCAUUUUUUCCUUAGUGGUUUGGUCAGUGAAUAUCGGUUUUGUUAGAGUAUAAUGUAUUAGUUUAUUUAUAUCUUUAAAUUGAUCAUGAUUUGGUUAAAUAUGUGGUAGUUACAGUGCUUUCAUGUUUGACUGUUUAGGUGCAUUGAGGGAGUAACUCAUUCGAUGUUAAAUGGAGUUGAUACUAGUUAGUUGAAAUAUAAAUGGAGUUCUUUCGGUAUUUUGAUGGUAGUUAGGGAGAUUGAUUGAUUCAAUGUGUACUUGCAAAGUGAAUUAAUCUGCUUUGUUCAAAAUGUUUUGACACUCAUUUAUUUCUAGUUGAUAGUGUAUUUAAGAUGUCGUUUGAAUUCUUCACUGUUCAUUCUCUCUUUUGUCGAAACGUAAAAAAGAUCAAAAUUUUACAUUUUUACGUAAUUUUACGAAAAAAAUCAAAAUUUUUAUUGUUCUUCGUAAAUGACAUUAAAUUAUUUAUCCUCAAUAACAUGAUGAAUUAUAGCGAUAUAAUAAAAGAGGAAAAUGAUAAUUAUAUCCCUUAGUUUUAUGUUUAUUAAAAAAAUUACUUUUUUUUUUUUGAAUAUUCAAAAGUCAUCGGUGCAAGUCGAAAUUUUUUUAGGUGUUUUUUAUAUUUUUUAUGUAUUUUUCUUCAAUUUAUAUUUUUCUGGAUAUUUACGAAAAAAAAAUAAGGUUUUAAGUUUUUUCUUGAAAACCAUUAUUUUGGAUAUUUUAAAUUCACUGGUGCAAGUAAAAAAAUAAAUCUGAAGUGUUUUUAUAUUUUCUUUAUAUUUUUCUUGAUUUUUAUAUUUUUCAGAUAUUUACAAAAAAAAUAAUUUUGUUUGGUUUUUUCGGACAGUUUCGUAAAAAAGUAAGAUUUUGAUUUUUUUUUCGUUUCGAUAUUUUAAAGUCAUUGGUGCAAGUCGAAAAAAAAUUAAGUUGCUUUUAUAUUUUUUAAUGUACUUUUCUUGAUAUUAUAUUUUUUUAAUGUACUUUUCUUGAUUUUAUAUUUUGUUCAGAUAUUUACGAAAAAAAUAAGGUUUUAUUUUUUUUCUUGAAAACCAUUAUUUUGGAUAUUUUAAAGUCAUUGGUGCAAGUCAAAAAAAAAAUUGAAGUGUUUUUAUAUUUUUUUUAUAUUUUUCGGAAAUUUACGAAGAAAACUAAAUUUUUUGAUUUUUUUCGGACAUUUACCAAAAAAAGUAAAGUUUUGAUCUUCUUUUUGUUUCGAUUUUUUAAAGUCAUUGGUGCUAGUCAAUAGAUAAAAUAAAACAAAAAUACAUCUACCCACUCCCAUUUUUAUAGUAUUUUGUUAGAUUAUUUAUAAAUAUUCUUGAAAUAAUAUUUUUUAUUUAUUUAUCAAACACUAAAAAAAUAAGUAAAAAACACCGGUUUGGUCGAGCCAAUUUUCUGAAAAAUGACUUUUAACCCAUUCAAUUUUGAAUUUUCCCCAAUUUUGCAUAAAAUCGUUGUUUCUUUGUUGGUAAAAAUCUGAUAAAACAAAAUGGAUUUUGAGUUUGAAAUAAAUUGGUAAUGCAUAUGUGAAUGUCAAUUUUAAUAUUAGAUGAUCAAUUUUUUGAAAAAUAGUUUUUAUCGCAUUUAAUUUUAAAUUUCCCCCAAUUUGGCAUAGAAUUUUUGUCCUUUUUAAGUAAAAAUCUAAUGAAACAAAAUGGAUUUUGAGUUUGAAAUACCUUGUUAAUACAUAUGUGAUUGUAAAUUUUAAUAUUGUACAAUCAAUUUUAAUAUUAGGCAGGCAACAUCAGCCUCGGCAUGCGCUCAUCAGCCAUGCGACAUCAAGUCUUUGAACGCAAAUUGUGCCCAAAAUCAUUAGGUUGAUGGCAUGUCUACCAGGCGCAUCGGUCUUGAAACAACCCAAGAGCACCCCCUAGUCGUUACCGGUGUAUUCGACCUCGAAGAGGUCUUAUACAAGCCCUUAGCAUUCAUCAUAACAUGUAUCAUAGAAUAAAAUCACGGAAAGUUUAAAACUUUUACUUUGGAAGUUCAACUUCACUUCAUAUAUGAAAAAUAAAAUCUAACUUCGUCACAAUGCACCAUCUAGACAUAGAAGUAUCGAAAAUGGGACGUAGCCCUUACAUCAAUAAGAAGUCUUGAAAAUAGGAAGUACAACAANNNNNNNNNNNNNNNNNNNNNNNNNNNNNNNNNNNNNNNNNNNNNNNNNNNNNNNNNNNNNNNNNNNNNNNNNNNNNNNNNNNNNNAGGACAUUUAUAAUCAAAACAUGUUUUUUGCCAAGUAAAUCCAAUAUUCACACAAAUUAAGUAUCAUAGUCCAAACCAACAUAAUAUCAUCCCAACAUAAUAUCAUCCCAAUCAAUACUAGUGCAAUGCAAAGAAUAGAACCCCAUAGCCCUAUUCAAAGCCAAGUAUCACAUUAAGCAACCUACUUCAUGCAUACAUUCAUAAGAUCAUAUUUCAUCAUAACUUACCAUAUUCAUAAUGAUCAUACAUAACAUAGCUUCAACAUACAUAAGUCAUAAUCAUCAUAAUCAUAAGAGAAUACUACUACAACCUUUUCUUAGGAUCCCACAAGUGCAAUGUGCAAGAGAAGUCCCAUACCCUCCCUUACACUAUGUAGAAACCCUUAAGAAAGCCCUAGCAAGAGUUCACACCUUUCAUACCCUCAUUUAUUUUUACAUUAGGGAAUUAUUGCAUUAACCGACAUAGGCCAUGAGAGCUACAUGGAAUCCGGUGUUCUACUCCUACACCGAAAAGAGAGGGUUAACACUUGCCUAAGGUGUAACCAUUCGUACAUAGCUAUCUAGGUGGAUCCACUAAGCUAGAGUACUAUGUGGGCACAUAGUUAAGGGUCAAGGAGAUUGCUUUUAGAAACCCUAACUUACUAAACGUGGGCGUUUCCAUCUCAGGAGAAAACACAUACCGUAGGUAAUCCGGAAUUGCUAAACAUGAGGAAACCAAUGUGGGGAGCCGGACAUAGUAAACAUGAGACCCCCAUCUCAUUUACAUGCCCUUUCGGUGCUAAGCAUCUGAUUCCCUUUUGUAAUCAUCUUUAGUCAUCACAUAAGUUCACAUUAGCCUUUACUAGACUCUUAUGUAGACAUCUUAUUAUAAUAGCUCAUAUGUGUUCAUAAGUGAGUAACAAUCCUUUGACUUUAGAGACACUUAGCAAUUGCGAAAGCCUUUAACUUUACAUUACACUACAAUCAUCAGAACUACCUUUCAAUCAUAAAGCAAUCAUACCAUAAUAUACAUACAUACUUCAUAGCUAAUUCAAGUGUAGAGGGUUAAGGAUGAGGAAACUAGGUCAUCAACACCACAAUAACACAUUAGGUAUAGCAUCAUUACAAUCUAAGUAAUUCACCUUUCAUACUUGAGUUCAAAGAGAACCAACCUUCAUACCUUCUUGCCAUUUAUGGGACAUCCAUACUUCAAUUACCAAACAAUUCAUAACCAAUACAUAAUACAAGGUAAUUCAUGAAGUAUUACAAUAAUCAACAUCAAUAUAAGCAAUUGACAUAUUCCCUUCAUAGACUUCAAAGCUUCAUUCAAAGACUCAACCCUAAUUUCAUAGAAAUUAUGCAUAACCUAGGGUAGAAUCAUCAUACAAACAUGAAUUACAUAACAUCACAUUCAAUUCAUAGCCUUCAAUCAAUAUCCAACACAAACUAGGGUAAGAAUUACGAAAAGAAGGAGAAACAUGGGUCUCAUGGGAAUUCUUCCAGAAACCACCAAUAAAACAUAAAUUCAUCCAUAAUUGUUCAUAUAAAAUCAAUCAAACUCAGUUUAUAACAUCAAUUUCACUUUAGAAAGAAGACCCACAUUUUUGUAUUGAAACCUAGAAAUUGGAGAUUUUCAAAUUCAUCUUGAAGGGGCCUCUUGGGAAAGUAAUCCCAAGAGUUAUAAGCAAUCAUACCUUAUAGAUGAAUUAACCAAGAAAAUCUGAGUUGAAACCUUGGAGAGUUGGUGUUCUUCUUGAAGUUCCAAUCUUCUUCAAUGGAGUUCUUGAGAAGAGAGAGAGUAGAGAGAAGGAGGAACUUUAGUUUUAGAUCUUUGGGGUUUUGUGUUUGAGUGAUAAAACUGAGGUAAAUUGACUUAAGAAUCAUUAUAUACACGUCCCCUAAAGUACCCUAAAUACCCCUCACUUAAAUAGACUCUUUAAUGAAGUAAAAAUAGAUUUCUGAAUUUCUACAUUUUCGUCGCGGAACAAGUCCGCGACGCAGAGCUGUUCCCUGAAGAUAUUUGGAAUUAAAUUUUGAGACAAUAGAGUCCGUGACACGACUGCAUUGCGAACUAACUUUUUUCUCCUUGGGGGAGCAAGUGCGUGACGCGCCCCUAUUCCCUCUAGGUGCAAUUUGCAAGCUGCCUUAGCAGCUUGCUUGGCCAAGGUUGGGGUCUUCCUCGGGACCCCUUAGGGUGGCCCCGGGGAGUCGUAUUCGAACGUUUGGACCCUAGGAACAUAUAUUUACCUAUUUUAAACCUUUUCACCCAAUUAUACCAUCAUACGAUACUCCCAAACCUGCCCAAAAAUCUAAGGACACACUAGAACACAUUCUUCUCUAGUGUCCGGACGUUGUGGUCGUUUCUUGACGUUUAAACUUUACUCUUCCAAACCAAGUCAAUUACAUUAGUUUAGGUUUAUAAACAUAAUUUUAACUAUUUUUAAGUCAUUAUUCAUAAGGUGAGGCUCUAACCUAAGUCAUAGAAUUUUCGGGGUGUUACAAUAUCCCCCCUUCGGAACAUUUGUCCCCGAAUGUCACUUGGACUUAUUUCUAGGGAGACAAUGACUCAAACUAGCAGCACAACAACUAGUCACAUCAACAACAUCAUAUCAUCAUAUCAUAUAGGAAUUUAAUCCACAACAUCACUAUGCUCAAAACUCUUUACUUCACAUAAGUAUAGGAGGAACUACCUUUCACAUAAUCAAUGAGCAUAAACACGUAUCUUAAGCAAUCGACAAGACAUUUCUUUAACAAGACAACAUCAAGCAUGCUUAUUACAACUCUCAUGAAGACAACACCACACAACAUCUAUGGGUGCAAUAUCAACCAUGAGAAACAAAAUUUCAUGAAAACUCAAAAUACACAUUAAGAAUGAAUUUUCACAAAAAUAUGCACAUACAAGGAAAUCAUGUCAUAAUCAUCAACACACAUGAUCUUCAAUUUAUACAAAAUUAAGAGAGACUACUAACCUCAACUAUGGCUAGGAGUAGGAGGAAAAAGAUGAGGGUAGGGGGACUUCAUGUCGGCCUCGGCCUCCCAUGCUGCACCCUCAACUAGGUGGUUUCUCCAUAGGACUUUUACGGAGGCAACCUCCUUAUUCCUCAACUUCUUAACUUGACGAUCUAGUAUUUCGACCGGAACCUCUUCAUAAGAAAGGUUCUCAUUCACCCCUAAACCUUCUAGAGGGAGAAUGGACACCGGGUCACCUAUACACUUCUUUAACAUAGAAAUAUGGAACACCGGGUGAACCGGGGCCAAUUCGAUGGGUAAUUUCAACUCAUAAGCGACCUUUUCGACACUCUUCAAGAUCUCAUAAGGCCCAACAUACCGGGGGUUAAGUUUCCCCUUCUUACCGAACCUUAUCACCCAUUUCAUGGGUGAGAUCUUCAAGUAGACCCAAUCACCUACUUCAAAUUGAAGAUCUCUCUUUCUAUUAUAGACAUAAGACUUUUGCUGACUUUGAGCCGUUUUCAACCUAUCCCUUAUAAGUUGAACUUUUUUCGUAGCCUUAUAGACUACCUCAGGACCAAGAAGAGCAAAUUCACCUACUUCAAACCACCCAACCGUAGAUCGACACCUUCUACCAUAAAGUGCUUCAAAGGGUGCCAUAGCAAUACUCGAGUGUUAGCUAUUGUUGUAGGUAAUUCUAUUAAAGGUAGGUGGUCAUCGCAAUUACCUUUGAAGUCAAUGACACACGCUCUCAACAUGUCCUCUAGGGUUUGGAUGGUACGUUCCGCUUGACCAUCCGUUUGAGGGUGAAAUAUGGUACUAAGUUUCACUUCACUACGAAGCCCACUUUGGAAAGACCUCCAAAAAUGGGAAGUAAACUGGGCACCUCUAUCCGAAAUAAUCGACAACGGGGUCCCCAUGAAAUUUCACAAUCUCCUUAAUGUACAACUUAGCAUAAUCUUCAGCCGAAUAAGAAACCUUGACGGGAAGGAAAUGGGCUGAUUUAGUCAAUCUAUCAACAAUGACCCAAAUUGAAUCAUGUUGCCUACGGGUUCGAGGCAAACCUACCAUGAAGUCCAUAUUGAUCGCUUCCCAAUUCCAAGUGGGGGUAUCAAUAUCUUAAGUUAGACCUCCCGGUCCUUGGUGCUCGACUUUGACUUGUUGGCAAUUUGAGCNNNNNNNNNNNNNNNNNNNNNNNNNNNNNNNNNNNNNNNNNNNNNNNNNNNNNNNNNNNNNNNNNNNNNNNNNNNNNNNNNNNNNNNNNNNNNNNNNNNNNNNNNNNNNNNNNNNNNNNNNNNNNNNNNNNNNNNNNNNNNNNNNNNNNNNNNNNNNNNNNNNNNNNNNNNNNNNNNNNNNNNNNNNNNNNNNNNNNNNNNNNNNNNNNNNNNNNNNNNNNNNNNNNNNNNNNNNNNNNNNNNNNNNNNNNNNNNNNNNNNNNNNNNNNNNNNNNNNNNNNNNNNNNNNNNNNNNNNNNNNNNNNNNNNNNNNNNNNNNNNNNNNNNNNNNNNNNNNNNNNNNNNNNNNNNNNNNNNNNNNNNNNNNNNNNNNNNNNNNNNNNNNNNNNNNNNNNNNNNNNNNNNNNNNNNNNNNNNNNNNNNNNNNNNNNNNNNNNNNNNNNNNNNNNNNNNNNNNNNNNNNNNNNNNNNNNNNNNNNNNNNNNNNNNNNNNNNNNNNNNNNNNNNNNNNNNNNNNNNNNNNNNNNNNNNNNNNNNNNNNNNNNNNNNNNNNNNNNNNNNNNNNNNNNNNNNNNNNNNNNNNNNNNNNNNNNNNNNNNNNNNNNNNNNNNNNNNNNNNNNNNNNNNNNNNNNNNNNNNNNNNNNNNNNNNNNNNNNNNNNNNNNNNNNNNNNNNNNNNNNNNNNNNNNNNNNNNNNNNNNNNNNNNNNNNNNNNNNNNNNNNNNNNNNNNNNNNNNNNNNNNNNNNNNNNNNNNNNNNNNNNNNNNNNNNNNNNNNNNNNNNNNNNNNNNNNNNNNNNNNNNNNNNNNNNNNNNNNNNNNNNNNNNNNNNNNNNNNNNNNNNNNNNNNNNNNNNNNNNNNNNNNNNNNNNNNNNCGAAUGUCGGAAGGAUUCAAAGGUCUAGGCCAACUUUUGACCUCAUCGGUUUUCUUUGGAUCAACUUCUAUACCCUCACUAGAAACAAUGUGACCAAGGAAAGUAACUGAUCUUAGCCAAAACUCGCACUUGCUAAACUUAGUAUAGAGUUGGUGUUCUUUGAGGGCUUGCAAUACUAUAGAUGUCAUCAAUAAAGACAAUAACAAAUGAGUCUAGAAAAUUUCUAAACACACGAUUCAUAAGGUCCGUGAAAGCCGCCGGGGCAUUUGUAAGACCAAAGACAUCACUAAGAACUCAAAAUGACCAUAUCUUGUUCGGAAGGCUGUUUUCGGAACAUCAGCACCUCUCACCCUAAGUUGGUGAUAACCCGACCUCAAAUCAAUUUUUGAAAAGUAACUCGCCCCUUGAAGUUGAUCAAAUAAGUCAUCAAUCCUAGGGAGUGGAUACUUGUUCUUAAUGGUCACCUUAUUUAACUGUCGGUAAUCAAUACACAUACGAAGAGAUCCAUCCUUCUUCUUCACAAAUAACACAGGUGCACCCCAAUGAGAUAUACUAGGUUGGAUGAAACCCUUAUCCAACAAAUCUUUGAGUUGAGCUUUUAAUUCCUUCAACUCCGCCGGGGCCAUCCGGUAAGGAGGGUUGAAAUGGGUUGUUUAUCCGGCAAUAAAUCUAUGCCGAAAACUAUUUCCCGUUCGGGAGGAAUCCCGAGUAAGUCAUCGGGAAAGACUUCCGGAAAAUCGUUCACUACGGUGACCGACUCCAAAGGAGGAAUCUCGGACUCAAGAUUCUUGACCCUCACAAUAUGAUAGAGACAACCCUUAGAAAUCAACUUACAAGCUUUUAGACAUGAAAUGAUCCUUCCCCUAGGAACAAAAUUUCCUCCCUUCCAUUCGAAAAUGGGUUCAUUAGGAAAUUGAAACUUCACAAUUCGGGUCCUACAAUCUAUGGACGCAAAACAAGCAUGAAGCCAAUCCAUCCCCAAUAUAAAAUCAAAGUCUAACAUCUCAAGUUCCACCAAAUCAACAAAAGUGACUCUAUUGGGCAAAGAUAUGGGACAACCCCUAUAGACUCUUUUAGCAACUAUGGAAUCACCCACCGGGAUAGAAAUCGAAAAGGGUUUAUCUAAGAUAUCGGGAAGCAUAUCAAACUUUAUAGCCACUAAAGGGGUUAGAAAAGACAAAUUGGCACCGGAAUCCAAUAAUGCAUAAACAUUAAUUGAAAAUACUUGUAGCAUACCGGUCACAAAAUCCGGAGAGCUCUCUUGAUCACCUCGGGAUUGGAGAGCAUAGAAGCAAUUCUUCUUAGGAGCAUCGGGAUUUGGGCCACUUGUUUGUGCUUGAGCAUUUUCCCUUCCUUGAGCCUUUAGCAUAGGGCAGUCCCUCCAUAUGUUGCCGCUCUUACCACAACCAUAGCAAUUACCCAUGCCAACUAGGCACUUGCCGUCAUGUUUUCGACCACACUUUGUACAAAUAGGCUUCUCAACUUAAGGACCACCACCUCUUGCUUCUUGAGGCUUGGGGGUAGAAACUUUACCUUUUUUGACCCUUGGAGUGUUAGGAGGACCUUGGUUGGAAAACCUCUUUUUGAACUUUGGCUUAUAUUGGAUUUCAAACCUAACCUUAGAAGAAUAUCCAUCAUCGGCCCUUGACCUCGCUUAAGCUUUUCCUCCUCAAUUUGUUCGGCAUGAACCAUAAGGCGAGAAACGUCCAUGCUUGGGAUUAGCAUAGCCGACCUACAUUCAUUCACCACAAGAUCGGAUACACCCAUAACACAUUUGUUCAUUGUAGCUCUAGAGUCCGACACCAAAGUAGGAGCAUGCUUGGACAAUUGACUGAACUUGAGGCCAUACUCCUUCACACUCAUACCCCCCUUGACGGAGGUUGAUGAAUUCUUGUUUUUUCCUCUCCCUUAGUUCCAAGGGGAAAAACCUAUCAAGAAAAGCCAUCUUGAAUGUAGCCCACUUAUCGGACCCUCUCUAAUAGGUCUCCCCUCCUUCCAUUGUUCAUUUCACACUUGUGCCACAUCUUUGAGUUAAUAGGCGGCUAACUCCGCCUUUUCUUGAGAAGACACACCCAUAGCCUCUAGAACCUUAAACACUUCAUCAAUGAACCCUUGUGGAUCUUCCUCCACUUUGGAGCUAAAGAAAGUAGGGGGAUUCAUCCUUGUGAAAUCCCUUAUCCUAGAUGAGGUAGAGCUAGCAUUGGGGUUUACUUGCACCCUAGCAUCCCUUGCAACUUGAGUGGCCAACACUUGAGUCAAAUUAUGUAUAGCCGACCUUAUAUCAACAUUAGACAUAGCCCUUUCUUCAAUAGGAACCAGAGGGUUUUGAGGAGCUUGAGGGGGAACCGCCUCAUUCACAUUCUCCUCACCGUCCCUCCUUGCAUUUUUCCUUCUUGUAUUCAUUGCCUAUAAGCACAAGAGAAGUAUUAGAAGAAAAAGACAAAAUAUAUUUAAGACUCUUAGGCACGACUAUGGAAUAACAAAAGAGUGAAACUUCCUAAGCAUCUCGUAGCCUCUUAUUCAUAAGUGUGGCGCGCUUCACACCCAUUAAUAAGACUCCACUCGAUGUGGUAUCUUGUGACAUGAAUCCUACAUUAAUCUCAACCUUAUGCUUUGAUACCAAGUUUGUAACGACCCGAGAGCACCCCCUAGUCGUUACCAGCGUAUUCGACCUCGAAGAGGGUCUUAUACAAGACCUUAGCAUUCAUCAUAACAUGUAUCAUAGAAUAAAAUCACAGAAAAUUUAAAACUUUUACUUUGGAAGUUCAACUUCACUUCAUAUACGAAAAAUAGAAUCUAACUUCGUCACAAUGCACCAUCUAGACAUACAAGUAUCGAAAAUAGGACUUAGCCCUUAUAUCAAUAAGAAGUCUUGAAAAUAGGAAGUACAACAACGUCUUUUCAACAUAAGCAAAGAACUAAACAUAGAAGCUAGAUCAUAGGGUCUUGUCCUAGGACUUGAGGGGACUCACCAACUUGGGGAAGCAACUCCAAUUGUCUUGAGAAGUAAGCUUGAAUCCUCAACGGUCCGAACCUAAAUGUUUGGGAAAAAGGGAGAAAAUAUGGGUUAGUACAACACACGGACUAAAUAUGGCUACUAUGCAUAAAAACCAUUCAAACAUGCAUAAAAGUACAUUUUAUUCAAAACAUGCUUUUUGCCAAGUAAAUCCAAUAUGCAAACAAAUUAAGUAUCAUAGUCCAAACCAACAUAAUAUCAUCCCAACAUGUAGACAACCCAAGCAAUACUAGUGCAAUGCAAAGAAUAGAAUCAUGUAACCCUAUUCAAAGCCAAGUAUCAUAUUAAGCAACCUACUUCAUGCAUACAUUCAUAAGAUCAUAUUUCAUCAUAACUUACCAUAUUCAUAAUGAUCAUACAUAACAUAGCUUCAACAUACAUAAGUCAUAAUCAUCAUAAUCAUAAGAGAGCACUACUACAACCAUCUCGAUAGGAUUCCACAGUUGCAAUAUGCAAGAGAAGUCCCAUACCCUCCCUUACACUAUGUAGAAACCCUUAAGAAAGCACUAGUAAGAGUUCACACCUUUCAUACCUUCAUUUACAUUUACAUUAGGGAAAUAUUGCAUGAACCGACAUAGAGCAUGAGAGCUACAUGGAAUCCGAUGUUCUACUCCCACACCGAAAAGAGAGGGUUAACACUUGCCUAAAUUCGUACAUAGCUAUGUAGGUGGAUCCACUAAGCUAGAGUCCUAUGUGGACACAUAGUUAAGGGUCAAGAAGAUUGCUUCUAGAAACCCUAACUUACUAAAUUUGGGGGUUUCCAUCUCAUGAGACAACACUACCUUAGGUAAUCCGGACUUGCUAAACGUGAGGAAACCUAUGUGGGGAGCCGGACUUGCUAAACGUGAGGAAACAUAUGUGGGGAGCCGGACUUAGUAAACGUGAGACCCCCAUCUCAUUUACAUGCCAUUUCGGUGCUAAGCAUAUGAUUCCCUUUUGUAAUCAUGUUUAGUCAUCACAUAAGUUCACAUUAGCCUUUACUAGACUCUUAUGUACACAUCUUAUCAUAAUAGCUCAUAUGUGUUCAUAAGUGAGUACCAAUCCUUUCACUUUAGACACACUUAGCGAGUGAGUAAACCUUUCACUUUACAUUACACUACAAUCAUGAGAACUACCUUUCAAUCAUAUAGCAAUCAUACCAUAAUAUACAUACAUACUUCAUAUCUAAUUCAAGUGUCGAGGGUUAAGGAUGAGGAAACUAGGUCAUCAACACCAUAUUAACACAUUAGCUAUAGCAUCGUUACAAUCUAAGUAAUUCACCUUUCAUAUUUGAGUUCAAAGAAGAACCAACCUUCAUACCUUCUUGCCCUUCAUGGGACAUCCAUACUUCAAUUACCAAACAAUUCAUAACCGAUACAUAAUACAAGGUAAUUCAUGCAGUAAUAACAUUAUCAACAUCAAUAUAAGCAAUUGACAUAUUCCCUUCAUAGCCUUCAAGGCUUCAUUCAAGGACUCAACCCUAACUUCAUAGAAAUUAUACAUAACCUAGGGUAUAAUCAUCAUACAAACACAAAUUACAUAACAUCACAUUCAAUUCAUAGCCUUCAAUCAAUAUCCAACACAAACUAGGGUUAGAAUUAGGAAAAGAAGGAGAAACAUGGGUCUCAUGGGGAAUUCUUCAAGAAACCACCAAUACAACAUAAAUUCAUCCAUAAUUUUUCAUAUAACAUCAAUCAAAGUCAGUUUAUAACAUCAAUUUCACUUUAGAAAGAAGACCCACGUUUUUGGAUUGAAACCUAGAAAUUGGAGAUUUUGAAAUUCAUCUUGAAAGGGCCUCUUGGGGAAAGUAAUCCGAAGAGUGAUAAACAACCAUACCUUAUAGAUGAAUUAACCAUGAAAAUCCGAGUUGAAACCUUGGAGAGUAGGUCUUCUUCUUGAAGUUCCAAUCUUCCUCAAUGGAGUUCUUGAGAAGAGAGAGAGUAGAGAGAAGGAGGAAAUUUAGGUUUAGAUCUUUGGGAUUUUGUGAUUGAGCGAUAAAAGUGAGGUAAAUUGACUUAAAAAUCAUUAUAUACAUGUCCCCUAAAGUACCCUAUAUACUCCUCACUUAAAUGGACUUUUUAAUGAAGUAAAAAUAGAUUUCUGAAUUUCUGCAUUUUCGUCGCGGAACAAGUUCGCGAUGCGGAGCUGUUCCCUGAAGAUAUUUAGAAUUAAAUUUCGAGACAGUAGAGUCCGUGACAUGACCGCGUCGAGAACUGACUUUUUUAUCCUUGGGGGAGCAAGUGCGCGACGCGCCCUUAUUCCCUCCAAGUGCAAUUUGCAAGCUGCCUUGGCAGCUUGCUUGGCCAAGGUUGGGGUCCUCCUCGGGACCCCUUAGGGUGGCCCCGGGGCGUUAUAUUCGAACGUUUUGACCCUAGGAAUAUAUAUUUACCUAUUUUAGACCUUUUCACCAGAUUAUACCAUCAUACGACACUCCCAAACUUGCCCAAAAACCUAAGGACACACUAGAACACAUUCUUCUCUAGUAUCCAGACGUCGUGGUCGUUUCUUGACGUUUAGACUUUUACUCUUCCAGACCAAGUCAAUUACAUUAGUUUAGGUUUAUAAACAUCAUUUUAAGUAUAUUUAAGUCAUUAUUCAUAAGGUGAGGCUCUAACUUAAUUCAUAGAAUUUCCGGGGUGUUACAGGUCUAUGCUAGGUGACAUCGUACCAGGCCUAGGCGCAUCGGCGAAUGAAGCAUCGAUUGAGGCAAGGCUAUAUCGAUCAAUGCCUGACCUCAAAGUCCUGGCGACAUCAAUUGAGGCUAGGCUACACUGGCUAGGCGACAAAGACCGAGGCUAGGCUACAUCGGCUAGGCGACAUUGACCGAGGCCAGGCUACAUCGAUCUAGGUCUGGGUGCCUCAUCUCGGCGACAUUAAUACGUCCAAACUUACACCUCAAUUAAGAGAUAUAAAUGGUCGAAGUCAAUUUAUAGAACUCAAUGUGAUUUGAGGUUGAUCCCACAGAGAAUUUAUUCACAGAAAUGGUUUCACUGUCGCGUUUUACUCAAAUGUCGUUAUUAUUUCCAAUAGAAAUAAUUACGAAAAGUAAAAUGGGUUUAGUUCUGAUGUUCUAGUAACUAAAAUUUGUAAUCAAAAUCCAGAUUAACAAUUAAUAGAGUUUUCACUUCUCAAGUUGUUUCGAUGAUUAAAAGAAACUAGGAUUGUGUUCCCCCUAACGUUACACCUAAUGUUCUUCCGUAGUUGAGUUUCUGGCAGUUUAUCUCUACAAAAUACAGACGAGUUAGAUAUAUAUGAUACUUCUCAGUAUAAUCAGAUACUGUUCACUCAAAUCCUCUCGGUCCAAGAGUGCUACUAGUUUUACCCUCGUUUACAAUAGUGUUAAAUUUCUUUUCUGUCGAACUCAUACUUUGACUCCAUUUCUUCUAGUUAAUUUAACUUUUUCCUAACUAUUAUUUUUUUCUCGAACAAAUAAUAGAUACAGGCUCACUCCAAUGCGUGUACUCAUCAGAAUACGUGAAUAAUGAAAGAUAGAUUAUAAUGUGCAAACAUAAAUCGCCUAUCACUCGUUUUACGGAAUUACACUUCAAUUCACGUCAUAGAUCCCACAAUCUAAGUUGUGGUAUUUCGCCACCCAUGAUUUCACGUAAACAUUCAGAAAUAUAAAAUGAAAACAUGUUGAGAAAGUACUUACGAGAAUAAGAAAAUCAACAAGCUACUUUGAUAAUUCAAGAACCGGAAAUCCAAACUUCGAACUUAAUUCAAUGUUAGAGUCGAAACCUAAAACUCAGAAUAAUGGAAACUUGUUCGUCGUUCAAGGUAAGAUCCGAUAAAACUAAAAAAUUCCCUAAUUAAUUCAAAUAAAGUGUCUAAAAAAAGAGUCCUACUCGAAGUAGGACUGAACUGUCGGGAAACUCCAUGAACGCUCUGACGCUCCAUCAAGAGUUUCACGUUCCGUGAAGCCCUCUGUGAUCUAUACUUCAAACUCUCAAAACUGAGUUCUUCAAGGCUUGCACACUGUAACUUGUCACGGACGUCACCACGGAUCGUGGCACUGACCACUGUCCGUAUAUGUGCCCAUGGUCUUCACUUGGCCAAUUCACUCUUCAGCUUCUCAAGGUCUCUUCCCUGGUUCAACUUUACGACCUGCAUCACGACCCGUCAUAGGUAUUACGGUCCGUUAGGUCUCCCGUGGUCCUCACUUAGCAUUGCCACAAGUUGCCUUCUCAAAGCCUGAUCACUGGAAAUUACAUCACGGAAAACACCACGGACCGUUGAAGAGACCACGGUCCGUCUGGGUGUCCGUGGUCUUCACUUCAAAUUUCCCAAGUUUGGGUCUUCAAUGAUAGCCUACAGGAAAUUGUACCACAGAUGCUAUCACGAUCCAUCUUGAGCUUCACGUCCAGUAAAGGCGUCCGUGAUCUUUACUUGAUUUGUCAGCACUUCAGAUUUGAGCUUGCAUUUUCAUCUUUUCUAGCUUCUUUCUCUUCCACUUGUUUCACCUAUAUAAACACUACCAAACACAUUAUAUCCACAUAAAUACACUCGAUUCUAGUAUCAAUUCUUAGUUUUAAAGCAUCAAAUGUGCCAAGAUUAAACGCAUGCCAUUUGGACUAUGUAAUGCACCAACAACUUUCCAGAGGUGUAUGAUGUCUAUCUUCUCAGACAUGGUGGAGGACACUGUGGAGGUCUUCAUGGAUGACUUUUCAGUAGUAGGUGAUACCUUUGAUGAUUGUUUGCUUAAUCUUAGCAGGGCCCUAAAGAGAUACGAGGAGGCCAAUCUAGUGCUGAACUGGGAGAAGUGCUAUUUCAUGGUCAAGGAAGGCAUAGUCCUUGGGCACAAGGUGGCACAAAGGGGGUUAGAGGUCGACAAGGCCAAAAUUAAGGUUAUUCAAAAGUUACCUCCGCCCAAAGUUGCUUAGGACAUGCCAGAUUUUAUGAGCGUUUCAUCAAGGAAUUCUCAAAAAUUGCACACCCCCUUGCCAAAAUGACAGGUAAAGUGUUGUUAGCUCCCAAAAUGACAUACCUCAGGUGACUCGGUAACUGUUUCAGUUCCAACACAGAUGGCUCCUCAAUAAAUGGUUUUACUGGAGGACUUGGCCUAUUUUUCAAAUCUAGGUCCAAUUUCUUUGAAGAAUCAGAGUGUGCUCCCAUACCCUGCAAAACAUUCACGGUCUCUUCAUAGUCAGACCAGAAAUCAGCUCCAAAAUUCAUCAGCACUGCAGCUAAGGUUUCAACAGCCAGCCUCUCUUCAAUGGUUGCUCCAAUUUCUUCUUCAUCAAAAAUCUCUAUCGCAGACACCACAUUCAUGUCAUGUGGCUUCUUCAUUGACCUGCAAAUAUUAAACCUUACCUCUUCUUUGUUGAGUCUGAAUUUCAGUUCUCCUCGUUCAACAUCUACCAAUGCUCGCCCUGUGGCAAGAAAUGGUCUUCCCAAAAUAAUGGGAACCUCAAAAUCCACUUCGCAAUCCAAGAUAACGAAGUCUGCCGGAAAGAUGAACGUGUCCACCUUUACAAGCACAUCACAUAUGAUGCCCACAUGUCACUUUACUGACCUAUCUUACAUCAUCAACCUCAUUGUUGUGGGUUUAGGAACUCCUAACCCCAGUUGCUUGUAGAUGGUCAGUGACAUCAAAUUUAUACUGGCCCCUAAGUCAUACAAGGCCUUUGCAAAUUUGGUUGAUUCGAUGGUGCACGGUAUGAUAAAUGCACUCUGAUCCUCCUUCUUCUGCACUAGAGAUCUGGUAGCAAUAGCAUUGCAGUGAUGAACAUUUUUAGUCAAAUUAAUUCUUACAACUCUCAUUUUUGUAGCCAAGUCUUUGAUGAACUUGGCAUAUCCUGGCAUCUGCUCUAGGGCUUCCACCAAUGGUAUGUUUACUGACAGUUGUCUCAGCAUGGCGAUGAACUUCGCAAAUUUCCCAUCUUCGACUUUCUUUUUAAGCCAUUGGGGGAAAUGAGGAGGUGGUCUUGGGAUCUGUUGUAAAGGCAUAUUUCCCUCAACCUCUUUCUUUUUUCCUCUUGCGGGUUGUGCUAUUGGUUUAGCAUCCUCCAAGUCCUCUACAUGUUCAGCU
rnacentral:lncRNA from 1 species